UCGCGAGAUCUGAUAUUGCUCCUGGACUAUAUAAUGAGACACACGCUCUUUCAAAACUCAGAAAAGCUGCGGCGUGGAGGAGAGCUGGUUCUCUUCUUACUGGCAGUUUUCUGUAACUCCAGCCAUUUGCAGUAGACGCCUGAGGAGACAAGAAUUAUUUCUUGUUUUUAAAGAGAGGACCAAAUAAAAUUUCUGAUAUCCUAUGCCAAGUACAUGGGUUGAACUAUAAGCCCACUUUUGAAGAUAGGCUGGCUGGUCAGCAAGUCCCUGGUAUUUAUUUGUCUCCGUCUCAAAUAGACUGGUAUGUACUCUCACUUCUAAUAUUUUAUGUGAGUGGUAUGUAUUUGAAUUUGUAUUCUCAUGCUAGAAUAUCAAGUGCUUGUACCAACUGAACUAUCUUCCUGGCCCUGUGCUUUCUCCUCCUUUUUAAUUUUUAUUUUGGGAUCUCAAGGCCUGGAAAUGGGGCCAUAUAUAUUAGGAUAGAUCUUCUGUCCUCAUUUUCUCUAGAAAUGCCAUUAUGGACAUGCUUAGAGGUAAGUGUCCUAGGUAUUUCCAAAUCCAAUGAAACUCAACAAUGGAGAUGUAUAACCACAUUUCAUUUACCUAUUUGUGUCAUUUAUUUAUGAUUUUUCUUUUUCAGAAAUGUAAAACUGUAUCUCUGUAUAAUAACUUUUGAAUGUAGGUGCACGUAUAAACAAGAAGAAGGUGUCAGGAACCCUAGAGAUUGAGAUACAGGCAGUUGUGAGCAACCUGACCUGGGAACCAAACUCUGAUAUACUCUAAAAGCACUGACCCAUCUUUCCAAAUUAUAUUUGAAGGUAUUAUUUUGUAAAACUUUGAACUGUUAACUAUUUUCUUCUUAAUUAUGGGUUUUAUUAAUUUUGUUUUGUCAACAUUUAUUAAUAUACAUGAGUAAUUUUCUUUUUUCUUCAAUGUGCCUUUCUUUUUAUAUUUUUAUUAGAUUUUUUUAAUUUACAUUUUAAAUGUUACCCCCUUUCGCAGUUUCCCAUCCAUAAACCCUAUCCCAUACUCCCUCCCCAUCUAUGAGGGUGUUCCCCCUCCCCAUCCAUCCACCCCAUCCAGACUCACCGCUCUGAUAUUCACCUACACUAAGAGUGUCCAUCCUUGGCAGGAACAAGGGAUUGUCCUCCCAUUGGUGCCCAGUAAGGCCAUCCCCUGCUACAUAUGCAGCUGGAGCCAUGAGUCUAUCCAUGUGUACUCUCUAGAUGGGGGUUUAGUCCCUGGGAGCUCUGGUUGUUGUUCUUAUGGGGUCGAAAAGCCCUUCAGCUCCUUCAAUCCUUUCUCUAACUCCUUCAAUGGGGAUCCUGUUCUCAGUUCAAUGGUUUGCUGUUAGCAUUGGCCUCUUAUUUGUCAAGCUCUGGCAGAGCCUCUCAGGAGACAGCUGUAUCAGGCCUCUAAUCAGCAUGGAAUUGAGACUAUUGAUGUUAAGAAAUAUUAAGGACUAGUGAUUGUUAACACUUAUUUUUGUUGUGAGAGGUGUAAUUAUGUUUGUAUGGCUCUCUUCUGGGUUUUUUUGUUUGGUUUUGUUUUUGCUUUUUGUUUUGUUUUAUUGUUUUGUUUGCAAAAGAGUGUUAUUGCUUUUUCUAUGGUGUAGUUUACCUUCUUGUGUUGGAAUUUUCCAUCUAUUAUUCUUUGUAGAGCUAGAUUUCUGGGAUGAUAUUGUGUAAAUUAGGUUUUGUCAUGGAAUAUUGGUUUUUCCAUCUAUGUUAAUUGAGAGCUUUGCUGGAUAUAAUAGCCUGGGCUGGCAUUUGUGUUCUCUUAGGGUCUGCAUGACAUCUGUCCAGGAUCUUCUGGCUUUUGUAGACUCUGGUGAGAAGUCUGGUGUGAUUCUGAUAGGUCUGCCUUUAUAUGUUACUUGACAUUUUUCCCUUACUGCUUUUAAAAUUCUUUGUUUCGUGCAUUUAGUGUUUUGACUAUUAUGUGAGAGGAGGAAUUUAUUUUCUGGCCCAAUCUAUUUGGAGUUCUGUAGUCUUCUUUUAUGUUUAUGAGCAUCUCUUUCUUUAGGUUAGGGAUGUUUUCUUCUAUAAUUUUGUUGAAGAUAUUUACUGGUCCUUUAAGUUGAGAAUCUUCACUCUCUUCCAUACCUAUUAUCCUUAGGUUUGGUCUUCUCAUUUUGUCCUGGAUUUCCUGAAUGUUUUGGGUUAGGAGCUUUUUGUGUAUUACAUUUUCUUUAUCAGUGGUUUUAAAGGUAUCUUCUUUCUGCCUCUGAGAUUCUCUCUUCUAUCUCUUGUAUUCUGUUGGUGAUGCUUGCAUCUAUGACUCCUAAUCUCUUCCAUGGGUUUUCUAUCUCCAAGGCUUUCUCCCUUUGUAGUUUCUUUAUUAUUUCUAUUUCCAUUUUUUAAGUCCUGGAUGGUUUUGUUCAAUUCCUUUACCUGUUUGGCUGUGUUUUCCUGUAAUUCUUUAAGGGAUUUUUGUGUUUUCUCUUUAAGGGAUUCUACUUGUUGAAACCUGUGUUGUCCUUUAUCUCUUUAAGGGAGUUAUUUAUGUCCUUCUUAACGUCCUCUGUCAUCAUCAUGAGAUGUGAUUUUAAAUCCAAAUCUUGCUUUGCUGGUGUGUUUGGAUAGCCCAUAUUUGCUUUGGUGGGAGAACUGGGCUCUGAUGAUGCCAAGUUAGCCUUAGUUUCUGUUGCUUAUGUUCCUGCGCUUGCAUCUGGUUGUCUCUGGUGUUAGCUGGUCUUGCUGUUUCUGACAGUGGCUUGGUCCUCCUGUAGGCCUGUUUUCUCCCAGACAGAACUGGGUAGAGGGAGCUGUGGGGCCAAGCCAGCUCAGGGCAUGGGCAGAAACUCUCCCAGACUGCUCCUGGCUUCCUAUGUCCUGAGGGCUCCAGGUGUGUCCCUUGGAGCAGAAGUGGUGGUCUUACCUCUGAUCUCAGGUGUGUCAGUGCUUCUGGCAACUGGCCUUCACCUCUGGGCACAGUAAAAAACUGGAAGGAUCCUCUCUCCAACUGCUUCUAGGUUCCUGUGUCCAGAGGGUUUUAGGCUGGUUCCUCUUGUGCCAAGAAUGAGCAGAAGUGUUCUCCCCUAAGUUCUCAGGACUGUUCAGAUUUCUGAGAGUCCAGGUCUCUCCCCCACAGGAUUUGGGUACAGAGACAUGAGUUAUUUUUAUGUAAGCAUUUUCUAGUAUAAUUCAGAAAGCUUACUAAAAGGGAAUAGAUCCCAAGUUGAUCCAGUCACUGGAUGUCCUUGUCAGAAGAUUUGACUGUGGAUUGGUGACCCCAUCCCUCCACUGGGGGCCCUGUAUAUCAACUGGAGGUGGACUCUUGAGGUUCCAUCUCCUAACUGUUGGGAAUUUCAGCUAAAGUCGUCCCCUUUGAAUCCUGGGAGACUUUCACAUCCUGGUUCUCUCUUUCCUUCUUUCUCUUCUGUUAGAUUUAGUAUAUCUAGUUUUUGUUGAGGUCUUUGAUCCACUUAGACCUGAGGUUUGUGCAAGGUGAUAAAUAUGGAUCAAUUUUGAUUUUUUUACAUGCAAGCUUUGUCCAGUUAGACCAGGACCAUUUAUUGAAGAUGCUUUCUUUUUACCACUGCAUGUUUUUGUCUUUUUUGUCGAAGAUCAAGUAUAUGUAAGUGUGUGGGUUUAUUUCUGGAUCUUCAGUUCAAUUCCAUUGACUUACCUGUCUGUGUGUGUACUAAGAACCGUGCAGUUUUUAUUACUAUUUCUCUGUAGUACAGUUUUAGGUCCGAGAUGGUGUUUUUCCCCAGAGGUGCUUUUAUUGUUAAGAAUUGUUUUUGUUGCCUUUUCAUUUUUUGUUACAUAUGAAAAUGAGAAUUCCUUUUUCCAUGUGCUUGGAAUUUUGAUAGGGAUUGAAUUGAAUCUGUAGAUCACUCUUGGUAAGGUGGCCAUUUUUACUAUGUUACUACCAAUCUGUGAGCAUGGGAGAGCUUUCCAUCUUCCGAGUUCUUCUAGGAUUUCUUUCCUCGGGGACUUGAAGUUCUUGUCAUAUAGACCUUCCAUUUGCCUAGUUAGAGUUACACAAAGUUUUUAUAUUAUUUAUGACUCUAAUAAAUCAUGUUGUUUCCCUAAUUUCGUCUCAGCCCAUUUAUCUGUAUAAAGGAUUAUUAUUGACUUCUUUGAAUUAGUUUUAUAUCCAUUCUCUUUGCUGAAGUUUAUUAGUUGUAGACAUUCUCUGGUAGAAAUUUGGGGGUUGCUUAUGUAUGAUGUCAAGUUAUCUCCAGAUAGUAAUAGCUUGAAUUCUUUCUUUCAAGCUUAUAUUCCCUUAAUCUCCUUUUGUUGUCUCAUUGCUGUAACUAGGACUUCAAGUAUUAUAUUGAAUAGAUACGGAGAGAGUGGGCAGUCUUGUCUUGUGUCUUGUGUGGUGUUGCUUCAAGGUUCUAUCCAUUUAAUUUGAUGUUGGCUGUUGCUUUGCUUUUGCUUUUAUUAUGUUCAGGUAUGUUCCAUGAAUUCCUGAUUUCUGCAAGACUUUUAACAUUAAAGUGUAUUGUACUUUGUCAAAGGCUUUUUCAGCAUCUGAUGAAAGGAUCAUGUGAUUUUUGUUUUGACUUUGUUUAUAUAGUGGAUUACAUUGAUGCAUUUUUGUAUAUUGAACCAUCCCUGCAUCCUUGGUAUGAAGCUACUUGAUCCUGGUGUAUGAUGGUUUUGAUGUUCUGUUUAUGAAUAUUUUGUUGAGUAUGUUUUCCAUCUACAUUCAUAAGCAAAAUUGUUUUGAAUUUUCUUUGUUGCGUCUUUGUGUGAUUUAGAUAUCAGUGUAAUUGUGGCUUCAUAAAAUGGAUUAGGUAGUGUUUCUUCUGUUUCUACUUUGUGUAAUAGUUUGAGGAAUAUUGGUAUUAGCUCUUUUUUCUAGGUCUUAUAGAAUUCUGUACUAAAACCAUCUGGCCUUGGGCUUUUUUUUUCUUUGGGAGGUGUUUAAUAACUGCUUCUAUUUCUUUAGGAGUUAUGGGGCCGUUUAGAUAGUUUUUUGAUCUUGAUUUAACUUUGGUACCUUGUAUUUGUCUAGAAAAUUGUCCAUUUCCUCCAGAUUUUCCAGUUUUGUUGAAUAUAGGCUUUUGUAGUAGGAUCUGAUGAUUCUUUUAAUUUCUUCAGAUUCUGUUAUGUCUCCCUUUUCAUUUCUGACUUUGUUAAUUUGGAUACAUUCUCUGCCCUCUGGUUAGUCUGGCUAAGUGCUUAUCUAUCUUGUUGAUUUUCUCAAAGAACCAGCUCUUGCUUAUGUUGAUUCUUUUUGUAUUGUUUUCCUUUCCUCUAAUUAGUUGAUUUUAACCCUGAGUUUGACUCUUUUCUGCCUUCUGCUCUUGGGUGUGUUUGCUUUCUUCUGUAGUUUACAGAUAUGUGGUUAAUUUGCUAGUAUAUGAUAUCUCCAAUUUCUUUAUUAAAGCAUUUAGUGCUAUGGAUUUUACUCUUAGAACUGCUUUUGUUGUGUCCUUUAUGAUUGGGUAUGCUGUGCCUUCAUUUUCACUAAAUUCUAGAAAGAUUUUAAUUUCUUUCCCUGACCAACUUAUAGUUGAUUGGAGAGUUGUUCAGGUUCCAUAAGUAUGUGAGUUCUCUUUUCUUUUUGUUAGGAAAUGCAGCCUAAGUUCAUUGUGAUUAGAUCCACUGCAUGGGAUUAUUUGAAUUUUUUAUCUGUUGAGGUUUGUUUUGUGUCCGAUUGCAUGGUCAAUUUUGGAAAAGGUUCCAUGAAGUGCUAAGAACAAGGUAUAUUAUUUUGAGGGGAAUGGGGAUGUUCUGUGUAGAUAUAUUAAAUCCAUUUAGUUCAUACCUUCAGUUAGUUUCACUGCAUGUGUCUGUUUAAUUUCUUUUUCAUUGUCUACUUAUGAGAGUAGGGUGUUGAAGUCCCCCGGUAUUAUUUAUUGUGUGAUGUAAGGCAGUAAAGAAUCGCUUAGCAUUCACUGUUCACAAUGAUGAAACUGUAAAUCAGAAAAGUUACAUUUUCCGGGGUACACAUUAAUUCCGUCUUUGGAGACCACUCUGAGGUUCAGUGUUUGUGAAUCUUCUGUGCCAGCACAACCCCUUGUUGUUAGUUGAAGAAAAACUUUUAUUUAACUUCAUUCUUCCUAGAGCCUGUUUCUUCUUUUCAAGUUAUUUUAAUUUCAUGAAUACUACAAACAAGUAUUCUCCCUGUAAAAGUAUCUAUUUGUUUCAUUUCUGUACCUCUAGAGAACACUGUUUAAUGUUUAAUCUAUCAAUGUUUCAUGUCGUGAGAAACCUAAAGGAUGUUAAUAAAAUAGCACUAAAAUUAUAGAAUUUAAGUUUGCUUUCACAUACAUGGUAUUAUAUGUGACAAUCUAUUCAGGAAAUUUUUUACUUGUGUAUUUGAAGUACAUUUAUAUUAUCCCUUAAUAUUUCUUUCAUUGAUGAUAUAUUUAUAUAUUUGAUUUAUACAUGUACUAGAAUUUCUUGAUGGUUAGAACUGAAUUCCCCAUAUUUGUACUAUGUAUUACAUAGCUUGCAUACUGACUUACCAGUGUUUCUGCUUAGAUAGAAGCCAAGGAACUAUACAGCUAUUAAUGGAAAAGGUAUCCCAGUGGAAGUGCAUGCAGAGACAUUGGGACCCAGGAAGCACACAGCUCUGAGGUGGGACAGUGUCCUAAGGGAAGGGCAUCGUGAGAUGAGACAUGGUAACCCAGGAAACAUAUAGUUCUGAGAGGAGGCAUCCUCAGCAUCUCCUAGGGGGAGAGUAUCCCUAGCUAAGCUGAAGAGCUCCUGUUCAACAGCUCCUGCAGUGGCAAUUUACAAAGGCUGUAGGCUGAGGCAGGAAAGGUGCACAGCUGAGUGAGAGGCAGCAAUUUUUGAAGCAGAAAAGGAGAUACACUACCAUGAACUGCCCCUAUGAUGAUUACAGGCUAAGGAGAUCUUGGGCCACCAUUUUGAGAUCUCCUGUGCGAACAUUUUACUACCAUAGGCUGGGGCAGGAAGGAGGGGAUGACUGCAGUUUUGAUGGAUUUUUGAGGCUCAGGAACUACAUUACCUCCUUCAAGGUAUAUACGAAGAUAGCUGCUAUAAACAAAUACCUUGCGUAUAUCCUGGCACAAUUAUAUAGGAGUGUGAAUAGAAGUUCUUACAUCAUCUUGUUAUCAGUUCUGCUUCACUUCCUUAAGAACAUUUUAAUAAGCAAAUACAUAAAUCCUUUUAUAGCACCAAAGAAACCAAAAACUGGUUGCUCACUCACCUUGUUUUCUGUAAUCUCUAUCCUCUUAGUUUUGUUCCAUCUUUUUCUUAUAUUUUCUUUUUUCUCAUUUAAUUAAUUGUUAAUUCUGAUAACCAAUUGUGUGUAGUACAUUUUCUUGGGCUGGGAGUUGCUGAAAAGUAUAGUUCUUCUUUAACUCAUAUAUUCGUGUACUUGACAGAUACCUUCAGAGAGAAGUUAGUUAUUUAUUAUCAAAGUGCAUAUGGUCCUACUUUUGUCUUUACGUAAGUUUUAAUACAGAAUAGAAUGACUCUAACCAUGUAUCCCAAGUUGUCCAUACUUCUAUUUUGUUCAUUUUAAUUCCAUUUAUUGUCAUGAUUACAGUGCUAUGAGUAUUAAUAAUGUUAUUUCAAGAUGAUGAAUCCAAGAAAAAAUUCUCUUCUCAUAUAUCCUGUUUAUAGAAGUUUUUUUCUGGCUGAGUAACAAAGAAAUUAAUAAGCAGAAUUACAGAAUUGGACUUUCCAUUCUGAUUGUUAAAGAAUUUCAUAAAUCUGUGUUCUUUAAUGACCUAGCACAGGACAAGCAAGCAGCCCACAAGACAAAUCCUCCCACAUUGUCUGGUUUUGUAAAUAAUAUUUUGUUGAAAGAACAAAGUCCGUUUGUUUUUGGCAUUAUCUUUUCACUGCUUUGUUGCUACAACAACAAAGAUUUCUUUGUAGAUUUCAGAAGUCUAAAACACUUGUUUUCUUCCUUUUAGGAAAUAGUUUGCGAAUCCCCUUCUAUAGAAAAAAUAAGUCAAUAACCUAGCAACUUUUCUAGGAACACAUGGUUCACUAAACUCCCUUUGGUCUAGCCUAAUGGAUCCAGAUAGAUACAUGUUUUCAUCAAGCUACUUUUCCUAUAUUUCUUUCAUUUCUUGCUUCUAAUCCACUAUCGCUAUCCCAGAAAUUUCUUAUGGAAAUGCUAUUAAGGAGAUUUUCUUUUUAUUCAGUAUUGUAUUUUCUGGCUUUCAUUAAUUCCUAUUAUCAUAUAUCUAUCAAAACUGAUUUCCUCUUUUCCUAGCAGGGUUCCUGAGGGUAAGUUAUAGUGAGGUUAUCCUCUUUUUAUGAGUUUGACUAAAUUAUAUCUUCUCUCAGAAUGAUCUUAUUCUCUAAAUAAUGUAUUUUUAAAUAUUAUCCUCCCCUUCUUUUCUCCAUUCCCCAUCCCCUACCCCUUCUCCAGCUCUCAGGUAUUCUCUUGCAUUCUUGCUCUUUCUUUGGUGGUAUUGAAGAUUGAAUCCAGAGAUUUGUGAACAAUAGGCAGAUGAUCUACCAAUGAACUAUAUCUCCAAUUCCUUUUAUUACUUUCUAUAAAAUUUGAGACAAAAUUCUAAAUAAGUUGCUCAGGCUGGCCCUGAACACACCCUGUACCUCAGGCUAGGCUAGAAUGUGGGAACUAAUUGUUUAGAUUCCUGAGUAGCUGGGAUUAUAGGCUAUAGCCUCCUUGGUUGAAUUACCUAUUAGCCAAGACUCUGUAAGAUCUUUCUUUUUAGCAAUUUACCCUAUAAAAGUCUUAUUCUGAGGACCAUUCUUUUUUUUUAAUGGAUUUUUUAUUGGAUAUUUUAUUUAUUUACAUUUCAAAUGUUAUCCCUUCCCCCCCCUUCUCCCAUCCCCCCUCCCUUGCUUCUUUGAUGGUGCUCUCCCACCCACUCACUUCCACCUCACUGCCCUGGCAUUCCCCUACACUGGGGCAUGGAGCAUUCACAGGACCAAGGACCUCUGCUCUCAUUGAUGCCAGAUAAGGGCAUCCUCUGCUACAUAUGCUGCUGGAGCCAUGGAAACCCUUUCAGCUCCUUCAUUUUGUCUUUUCUCUAACUCCUGAGGAUGGCAAUCAGUGGUGUUUUGUUGGUAUUUCAUUCUUCUGUUAUUAUUUAAGUAUUUUAACCUGAUACAAAUGUAGUUAUCAAUGUCGAGAGCAAAUAGAAGAAAACAGUCUUAAUUUUAUUUGGAGAUAAUUUUAGUUACAACAGAUAGGUAGUUUCUUUUUCUAGAAAUUAGAGCACAUUGUAAGAAAGAAGCUUUUUUGUCAAUCUAGCAUCUUCCUCCUGAAAUUAUGAAAAAAAUCAUUUUCCAGUCCAUAUUUAAGAAUUGCUAAGAAGAAAAAUGUCACUUUAAUGAGCAUACUGAAUGAAUCAUGAGCUUAACAUUUUAAGAAUUAAAUGUAUAGUGAAGAACAUUAAUCCAAUCAAACAUUUUUAAAGAAAUCAUAGUUUCCUAGGUCUAAAUAUAAACAGAAUAUCUUGAAAAACAAGUUGGAACAUAAAUGUGCUGUCAGUAAGAUUCUGUUUUCUCCUCACUUACACAGUCCUGUUUCUUAAGACCAAGCUGAAUAUUUCACUAUAGCAACAUGAAAUAAAUUAUCCUGAAUAAGCCUGAGAUAGAAAACUUCUAGUAUAUAUGUGACAUAGUAAGUAAAGAUAUCACUAUAUGUGUCAAAGAGAAAAUAUAUUUUGUUGAUUUUUUUUUUUUGCUACAGUCUUGUUUCUAUGAAAAAAUUCUCUUGGCUCAGAACUACUCCUGCCUUUCCUUCUCAUCUUUUCUCCCAUCAAUAAGACACCAAAUGUUGAGAUUUCUUUACUGUACUUGCCAUAUACUCCACAUUACACUUAUUAUUUAUCUUAAAAUUAAAGUUGAGACUAUUAUUUUACAUGGAAAGCCUACCUGAAGUGUAAUACUUGCUAAGUUCCCAUUUCUGGGAGUCAGAAAAACCAUGUCUCCUCUCUUCCAGCCAUACACUUAAAAGAAAGGCAUAUUAGAGACUACAUGCCUUGCUUUUGGCACUCCUUCAUUAUUAUCUCCCUUUGGUUAUUACUCCUUUUCUAGGUUAAGCUCAUCAGUUUUUGCCUUGUUCUUUGUGCUUCUCAAACUUGUGUCCUCUAUACUCUACAACCUCUUCUCCAUUCUUCACUCUGUCUUCCCACCUUCCCCGCACAUUGUUUACAAAUAAUUCUUUUCUGAAAAUGCCAUUCUAUUUUUUACUUUUAUCUUGAUAGCAAUAGCAAUAGCUUAGAAAAAUCAGCCCUCUUAUGUUUGCCUCCUACACUACUUUUACCUGAUCACUUACCUUUAAAACUAAAAGUUCUCUGGCACCAAAACUGUGUCUUAUUUCUAUGCACUCUGUCAGCCAAUAGGUGAAUCUUAAACAUGACUUUUCUUAUACUCAAAACCUUUCUAAGAACACCACAAUGGAUUAGUGUUAAUUUGUCAAAGGAAACACAGUGCUGGAAGGCUUUAUUGUGACACAUGCUGCUUUGUCCGAGUAAAAAGAUGUCACUGCCAAAGGCAGAGUACCCAUUUGUCAGGACGUUGUUCAGGAGCCAAGAGAUCAUCUUGUUUCCAAAGGACAGGGUAAUUCAGCAGGAGGAAGUAGAUAGGAAGUUGGAGAAAAGUUUCACUCAGAUUUUAUCUAUUAUUUAAUUACAUUUGGAAAAUACUACCCCUCUUAUGCCAACAAAUCUGAAACUAAGGCAAGUAUCAAUCUCUUCUUAAAUUCAAGUAUGAAGAACACAACACAGGGGGGUGGAAUCUGGCCGUUUUAAAUGUAUGGUUAUAGAGCACUAUACAAAGAAAUAGGUCAAUUUACAGAGGUCAAAGGAAAUUCACCCUUAAGAUUUCAAAUUUGGCUGCUUCUAGUUGAAUGUGUGGCUUGCUUAAAAACAUGAUAAAAUACCUUUCUGCUUUUUUUAUGUCCUCUACUUUUAAUGCACCUUUAAAUAUUGGUCUCCUUGGGUAACCUUUAAGAAUAAGGUUAUAGAUGUGAGCAUUCUUCCCUUUAAUAAGGCUUCUAGGUACCACCCAGAACAGUAACUUUCAACUAUGACUUCAGUAUAAAAUAAUAUGGGCAAUGUAUAAUAUGCAAAUAUGACCCAUCCCAGAGAUUCUAAUUUGAAGUGUAGACUGUGAACUAUGGUAUUUUCUCAAAUCUAGCCAGAUUAAUGUUACACACAGUGAGAUAGAAUACUAUUGUUUUAAUGCUGUAAUUGACCUUUUUCUAUUAGAAAUUCAACUUCUACUUUAUGAAGGUUACCUGUCCUAAACAAAACCAGUUAUGGCCUAAAGUGCCCAGCUGCCAGGUGCUUGUACUUGGUGAAGUCAGCAGUCCAGGUUCUUAGGGUCUGUAGAUUACAGACCAAGUAACUGGGGGUUCUGUGGUGUACACAUAGAGAGCACUCUGCUGAUCCAUCUCUAGUCUCAUAGUUGUUCCUUAAAAGAUGCGAGCUUUUAAUUAAUUGUUUUAUUUUUUUUACAUUCCACACAUUUGCCCCUUUCCCACUUCCCCUCUAAGAGUUCUUCAUCCCAUCCCAGAUGUAAGUAUCUGCACCUGACUUACUCAGCUGCUGGUAGAGCCUCUCAGAAGAAAGCCAUGCCAGGCUCCCAUCUGCAAGCAUAUCUUGGCAUCAGCAAUAGUGGUGGGAUGGGCCAUUAGUGAUCACUGGAUGGCCAUUCCUUUAUUCUCUGUUCCAUUUUUGUUUUCUUUAACACAGGAACAAUUCUGUAUAAAAAAUUUUAAAUGUAGGUUGGUAACCCCAUCACUGCACAAAAGGCCCUGUCUAUUUAAUGGAUCUCAAGGUCUCUUUAGGUUCCAUAUCUCCACUGUUGGGCAUUUUGGCGGAGGUCAUUUUCAUUGAGUCCUGGGAACUUUAACAUAUUAGGUUUCUGGAAUUUCCUAGAGGUUUCCCCCACAUAGCUACAUAUUUCCAUUCAUUCUCCUGACCCUCUGGGAUUCUGUCCUGUCUCCCCCAUAACUAAUCCUGUCCUCCUUUUCCAUUCCCUGUCCUUUCCCACCUAGGUCCUGUUCUCCCUCUACCUACCAAUGUUAUUUUGUUCCCACUUCUAAGCGGGAUUGAAACUCCUCACUCAGGCCUUCCUUUUCUCUGUGGUUUGUAUCACAGGUAUUCUAUGUAUUUUGGUUAAUGUCCACUUUUCACUGAACACAUACCAUACAUGUCUUUUUGGGUCUGGGUUACCUCACUCAGGAUGAUCUUUUCUAGUUCUAUCCAUUUGCCUGCAAAAACAAAUGUGUUUAUUUUUUAUUUCUAAGAAAAACACUUUUGGAAACAUUUAAUUGAAAUUCAAUAAUGUAGUAAUUCUAUAAUGUAAUGUUUUCCCAAUGAAUUAGUGAAUUUCAAAUUGAUUAAUAAUUGCAUUCAUAUUUAUCCUACUUUGAGCAAUAGGUAUAGAUUUUAAAGUAAUACUAAUUGUUGCUAAUUAGAUAGUUUACAUAAACAUUUUUCUUUACUUCUCAGAAAAUGAUAUAAAAACAAACUCAAAUGAACAUUAUUUUGUUAUCUGAUGUUAAAUAGUGGUGAUCCAGCAUGGAAAUCUGAUCUGGGAUUUUACACUCAUUAACUUGAAGGGCCACAUAUUCUUAAAGGUCUCCAUAUUCUAAAAUUAUGGAAUUUGAUAUUGAUAUUUAAAUGUCACUAGUACAGAUAGUGAUAUUUAAAUUGAUACUAUAAACAAGAGUGGGAAGUCUUGGAGCAGACAUAGAACAAGUAACAAAUAAGAUUAUUGCUUUCAAAAGAUAGGAGUUUCUUUUGUAGCUUCAGGAAAUGGUUGUUUUAUUAUGCAAAUUUGUUUUUUUUAUAGUUUGGAAGAUACCCUGUGUUUCAUGAGAAAGAUAAUCAGUGGCCUCUUUGCAUUAUUCCUUUGAGGCUCUAAUUGAACAAUGUAAAUCUCUUACUAAAAUCACAACAGGUGUCCUAAACUCUGAAACUCUCAUCAGUUCUAAUAAUGCUUCCUUUUAUGCCACAUGUGUUCAUAGGAAGCUUAGGUAUUUAGAACCAUGUGAUGCCUUGGCCAACAUCAGAAAUUCUCUAUUCCAUUCUCCUAUUGGUUAAUAGGCUUCUGAUAAUCAGUUUUUUACAGAGUGUAUUUGCUACCCUUUAUUGAGGAAAUUGGAGUUGGAAGUUGAGGUGAAAAUAUCCUUAGUUUAUAGCUAGUAUGUGCAAUUUUUAUAAUUAAAUGAUAGAAUUCUAUUAGUAAAGGCAUGAUAGAUAUGUGCUUAUAAAUGUCCAUAGAUUCAUAUUUUUUCACAGUAGGCCACUGGGAUUCGUCAGUAGUCUGGAGAUGUCAUGCGUCCACUUUUGUCUAUGUAAUGCAUUGUUUUACUGAAGGUUUUUAUUGAACUAUGCAUACAUGUGAUAUGCAUAUAGUGACAUGCAACUAUAGCUUUCAGGAGUUGUUGGAACUCAGCACAUUGGCUUUUCAGGAUUGCAUAGACUCCAUGCCCUUUAAGUAGUGCUUUUCUGGCAGAGAUUUUGUCACCACAGAUGAUCACUGAAUUGUUUCUAUGCUGUGGUAACAGAGAAGCUGUCUUUGAAUAUAAUAGGACAAACUGUGAAAGAGUAGUGGACCAUAGACCUCUACUGAAUUCCCCCUAGAUAAAAAAUAUGAAGAGGGCUAUAUCAUUUGCAGUACAGAUUUGCUUAUGUGUGUUGUUGUAAAAUUGUAUAUAUGGUUUUCUUUUACCCUACUAGGUCCAGCACUGCAGUUUCCCAAGAUAUCUGAUCUUAGUCAGCAAAGCCUCUCACCUGCUUUGCUCCAUCCCAUAUCACACUGCCAAAAGCCUCUCUCUGACCCUGGCAACAAUCUCUCUACCCAUCCAGUUCCCAAGGCAGGCUGUCACCAUGGCAGAAAUAUACAUCCAUGUCAGCUCAGUGUCACGGCCUCCACAUACUCUCUUAAACUUAAAUCUGCACAUGGAAGAACCCACAGCACAAUAACCUUUAAUCCAAUUGAUAAGAUAUAAUUGCCCACCUAAACAUAGAAAGCCCUUUACAUAUUCAUCCCUCAAGAGCAUUCAUAACAACCUGUAAAGUUACAGCUGCUCCUCCGUCCCUCCUCUGUGUUUCUGGCAUGGAAACCUGUGAUGGGAACUAGAUAGGUAGAGGGAUUGCUGCCAGGCUCAGAGAGAGGUCUUCAGCAGUGUGAUAUGGGAUGGAGCAGAGUGGGUGAGACUUUGCUGAAUAAGACUGUAAUAUCUAGCAGACAUCUUGGGGUACUUCAGUGCUGGAUCUAGAGCGGGUAAAAGAAAGCCCAUUUUUUAUAAUUUUACAACAGAUGGCAAGCCAGCCUGAUGGGCAGGAAUCUACUAGUAAUCCUAAGAGUUGAGAGAAAGUUUUAUUUUCUAAGAGGAAAAUAAAUUUGAAUAAUCACCUGAUCACCCAAGCCUGGGAACCUUAAACAAACAAAAGUCAGUCUCCUGUUGUGUGAUAAGUAAUGGCAGCUCUGAGAGUUAGAGAUUAAAAGCUGGUUUUUAAAGAAAGUUGUUCAAAAAGUCUCUCAUGAUACUCAUAUUCCUUCUAACAUAGGCUCCACAGGAAUUUUGGGUUGAAAUCUUAAUGACAGGUUUUAUUAAAAGGUGCUUUAAGUUUGUUUUUAAGAAAAGAGUACAGAGAUUACCCGAAUCACAUGGAGAUUUUCACCCAGGCUUUGGAAUUUAGGGAGAAUUAGUCACUGACUCCAAGAAGUAUUGUGAUAUUUACAAGGUUAUUUAUUAAGGUCAAAUAAAAAUCUGUGGCCCUGGGUAGAGAGCUUAACAGAUGGAUAUAUUUUGGGCUAAAGUCCUCAUUUGCUAAGUUACCUAUUGAUAUUGGAAUUAAUAGAAGGUACUUACAAGUUAUUAAGUUUAAUUGGGCUAAAGCCCUAGUUUGAUAAAUUACUUAUUGAUAUUGGAAUUGAUAGAAAGUGUUUAGUUUGUAUAUGAAUUACCUCAAUAAAGGCCAUAUGCCUCAUGAUGCUGGCUAGUGAGGGUUUGUGGUUAUUUUUUAUAUUUACCAUAACAGGAAGCUCAGAUUCUCUUAACUGGUCUUCACAGGAAUUUUGGAUUAAUUUCCUGAUAGUACAGAUUACAAAAGCCUAUCAGGCUCAUUGUUUAGCUUACUUCCUUUUUCAAAAUUGUUUAAUCUUCAUAAUGGGUAUGACUUUGAGUUUUACGGUUAUAUUAUUAGUCCGGAAGAGAGUGCAAGACACAAGGUUUUCUGGUUACAGACUAAGGAACACACAGUAUUUUGGGAGAAAGAUUUUGUCUUUGUGUUUUUAAAAAGUGUGAUUAAGCUCUGUAAACCUCACAGAGUCAUACUGAUCAGAUUUGAGAGAGGGAGACGGUCUGAAAAGCUAGAUACAGGAGAAUCAAACAAAAAGAUACCUCAAUUCUAAAUUUUUGUCUUGAGAGUUGUAUUUUGCAGAGUGUGCCUACUUGGGUUCCUGGUCACAAGGACUUUCAGCUGGGUCCAGUGAGGACACAUGAUGUUACAGUGUUUGAUUCAUACUUCCUAUCCCCUACCCACAAGGAUAUCUCAACACCCAUGUACAGAUUGAAGAAGUUAUAGAAGUGUUGUCACCCCAAUUCCCUGGAAUUUGGGAAGGCUGAAAGUGGUUAUUCUAAGGUUGUUUUUAAUGAGGAAUUUAGAAAUGGUUGUAAUUUAACAGGGAGGAAUUAGCUAGAAUGAGUUGUGCAGUCAUGAUCUCAAUUGGUAAGCAAGCUAAAAUCAUAUCUUUGCUUUGGUAUAGAAUAUGUUUGUUAAAAAACAGUAAAAGUACAGGGUUUAGAGCCAAUCAUUCUACUGAUGCCAUUACAAAUUUCUGAGUUGAUUACACAUGUGAGUUAAGGGCCAAAUAGCAAAUUCAUGGCUCUGAGUUUGUGAGAGUACUUUCAAGAUAAUAUUUAAGAUAUAAAGACAACAUUCCAGAUUACCUUAUGUAGAUAAUUUUUUUCAAAAACGUCAGAAGUCCAAAAAAUACGAAAUUUAUUUAUCGUUUGUUGAGACAUAUCUGCUCCUAAUAGUUCCCCUUUGACGGAUUUAAUGAAGAAAUUAAACAUCUCUAACUCCAGGUGAGGCAAGGACAAAACUGCCUGUUUCAUCUACAGAUGAAUACUGUCCAGAAUAGGACAAAUUAUGCAGAAUAGUUGACUGAGAAGACAGGGUGAUCAGCCCUUCAAAAAUCUGCAAUUCAAAAGUCUGUCAGUUGAUUUUGGGCGAGAAGACUGAAGACUUGAGCUCACAUGUUACUAACAGAGGACUGUGCUAGUGGAGAUUUGUCUCUACAACCUCUGAGUUCUGAAAGCCAUGUUAGGCUUCCUAUAUGUAUAGAUAUUUAGUUAUUCUCAGAUAUCUGAGGGGUCAAAGACUGAUUAGAGUUUCAUAGCCUAUCAGGCUGUUUAACUCUGAAAACACAUAUUUUAUUAGAUAGUUAACAGAAAGUAAACAAGCUAGCCAGGAUAUAACAUAGAUUUUAAGUCUUUCCUAAGCUGGAAUAUAUAACUAAAUGUUCUGAUUAACUGACAAAGUAUUGGAUUGUGUUAGAUAUAUUUUAUGCUGUUAGUUACAAAAUGAUAAUAGUUGUACUUAGCUUAUAUUUGAGAGAAAAGGUUUUUUUAGUUAGACAAAAAGUGAGAAAUGAGGAAUGAUGUCAUCAUACAGGUGCGGUAGGUACAGGACAGAAGGAACCUUCAGUCUCUAAUUGAAACCUUGCCUCCAUAUCUCCUCUUAUGAAUAUUUUUGUUCCCUUUAGACCUUCAUGAGGUCUGUGGAUUAUAUCUUGGGUAAUUUGAGCUUUUGGGCUAAUAUCCACUUAUCGGUGAGUGCAUGCCGUGUGUGUGUUUCUCUGACUGUGUUACUUCGCUCAGGAUGAUAUUUUCUAGUUUGAUCCAUUUGACUAUGAUUUCAUGAAGUCAUUGCUUUUCAUUGCUGAGUAGUAUUCCACUGUUUAGAUGUGUUGUUGAAAUGUGGGAUGAUGUCACAGGAGAGACAGGUAGGUAGAAUGAGGCCUGUCAGUGGACAAGAAGGAAGGAUGUGUAGGAGAAAAGAUUGGGGGAAAUGGGAGGAGACUGGAACUGAAGGGAAAGGAAGGGACCAGAAGAGAGGGAGGAGUGUGGAGAGAACACUGGAGGUGACCUUAAGAUUCCACUCUUCUGUAUUUACAGGUUGUUAUGAAUGUUCUUGAGGGAUGGAUGUGUAUAGGGAUUUGUAUAUUUAGGUGGGGAAUUAUAUCUUAUAAAUUGGAUCAAACGUUAUUGUGUUGUGUGUUCCUCAUGUGCAUUUUUAAGGGAAAGAGUUUGCUGCUGCUAUUCUAGGCUGCCAUGGAGACAUUUUGCUGAAUGAGGUCAUAUGUCUAGCAGUUAUCUUGGGUCAUUGCCUUGCUGGAUCUAGUCGGAGAUAAAAGGUAGCAUUUUGUUUUUUAUAUAAUUACAAAACCAGAGAUGUACCACAUUUUCUGUAUCUGUUCCUCUGUCGAAGGGCAUCUGGGUUCUUUCCAGCUCCUGCCCAUUAUAAAUAAGGCUGCUAUGAAUAUAGUGGAGCAAUUGCCUAUGAUUUCAUGAAGUCAUUGUUUUUUAUAGCUGAGUAGUAUUCCACUGUGUAGAUGCCUUGUUGAAAUGUGGGAUGAUGUCACAGGUGAGGCAGGUACAAGAUAGAAUGAGGCCUCUCAUUGGACGAGAAGGAAGGAUGUGCAGGAGGAAAGUCUGAGGGAAGGGGAGGAGACUGGAUCGGAAGAGAACAGAAGAGAAGGAGGAGUGUGGAGAAGCCACAUGGCAAGAAUACUGGAGGUGACCUUAGGAUUCCACUCUCUGCAUUUACAGGUUUUUGUGAAUGUUCCUGAGGGAUGGAUGACUCUACGACUUUGUAUGUUUAGGCGGGGAAUUAUAUCUCAUAAAUUGAAUCAAAGGUUAUUGUGUUGUGUGAUCCCUCAUGUACAUUUUUAAAGGUAAGAGAGUGUGCGGCCGCUAUUCUAGGUCGCCGUGGGUGGCUUUGCUGAAUGAGGUCUCAUGUAGCAGUUAUCUUUGGACAUUCGCUUGCUGGAUCUAGUCGGAGAUAAAAGGUAGCAUUUUGUUUUUUUAUAUUUUUACAAAACCAGGAAUUGUGCCACAUUUUCUGUAUCCAGGCCUCUGUCAAAGUGCAUCUGGGUUCUUUCCAGCUCCUGCCCGUUAUAAAUAAGGCUGCAAUGAACAUAGUGGAGCAAUUACCUAUGAUUUCUUGAAGUCAUGGUUUUUUACAGCUGAAUAGUACUCCACAGUGUAGAUGUGCUGUAGAAAUGUGGGAUGAUGUCACUGGUGAGGCAGGUACAAGAUAGAAUGAGGCCUCUCAUUGGAGGAGAAGGAAGGAUGUGUGGGAGGAAUAUCUGAAGGAAGGGGAGGAGACUGGAAGGGAAGGGAAAGGAAGGGAACGGAAGAGAAGGAGGAGUGUGGAGAAGCCACAUGGCGAGAACACUGAAGGUGACCUUAGGAUUCCACUCUCUGCUUUUACAGGUUGUUAUGAAUGUUCCUGGGGAUGGAUGACUAGAGGGCCUUUACGUUUGGGUGGGAAAUUAUAACGUAUAAAUCGAAUCAAAGGUUAUUGUGUUCUGUGUUCGCUCAUGUGCAUUUUUAAAGGUAAGAGAGUUUGCUGCUACUAUUCUAGGCCGCCAUGGAGAAGCUUUGCUAAAUGAGGUCAGAUAUCUAGCAGUCAUUCAUCUUGUAGCAUUUCCUUGCUGGAUUUAGUCGGAGAGAAAAGGUAGAGUUUUGUUUUUUAUAUUUUUACAAAAGCAGAGAUGUACCACAUAUUCUGUAUCCAUGCCUCUGUCAAAGGGCAUCUGGGUUCUUUCCAGCUCCUGCCCGUGAUAAAUAAGGCUGCUAUGAACAUAGUGGAGCAAUUGCCUAUGAUUUCAUGAAGUCAUUGUUUUUUAUAGCUGAGUAAUAUUCCACCGUGUAGAUGUGUUGCAGAAAUGUGGGAUGAUGUCUCAGGUGAGGCAGGUACAAGAUAGAAUUAGGCUUGACUUUGUAUGAGAAGAAAGGAUGUGCUGGAGAAAAGUUUGAGGGACGAAGAGGAGACUGGAAUGGAAGGAAAAGGAAGAGAGGGAGGAAUGUAGAGAAGCCAUGCCGAGAGAACACUGAAGGUGACUUAGGAUUCCACUCUUCUGCUCUUACAGGUUGUCACGAAUGCUCUUGAGGGACGGGUUUGUGUAGUGCUUUUUUUAUUUUUAGUUUGGGAAUUAUAUCUCAUAAAUUGUAUCAAUGGUUAUUUUGCUGUGUGUUCCCUCACCUGCAUUUUUCAGUGUUAGGCACUGUGGGGCUGCAAUUCUGGGCUGCCCUGCAGAGGCUUUGCUCAAUGAGGUAAAAGAUGUCGCAGUUAUCUUGGGACAUUCCCUUGCUGGAUUCAGUCUGAGAGAAAAGGUAGCAUUUUGUUUUUUAUAUUUUUACAAUACCAGAGUUACUACCACAUGUUGAGUAUCCAUUCCUCUGUGGAUGGUCUUCUGGGUUCUUUCUAGCUCUUGCCCGUUAUAAAUAAGGCUGCUAUGCAUAUAGUGGAGCAAUUACCUAUGAUUUCUUGAAGUUAUGUUUUUUUAGGGCUGAAUAGUACUCCACAGUGUAGAUGUGCUGUAGAAAUGUGGGAUGAUGUCUCAGGUGAGGCCGGUACAAGAUAGAAUGAGGCCUCUCAAUAGAGGAGAAGGAAGGAUGUGCAGGAGGAAAGUCUGAAGGAAGGGGACAGAAGAGAAGGAGGAGUGUGGAUAAGCCAGGCUGAGAGAAAAGUGAAGCUCCCAUGGAUAUUCCAAUCUGGGCAUUUACAGGCUGUCAUGAAUGUCCUUGACAGAUCGAUUUGUAUAGGGCUUUGUAUGUUUAUGUGGGGAAUUAUAUCUCAUAAAUUGUAUCAAAGGUUAUUGUAUUGUGUGUUCCCUCAUGUGCAUUUUUUAAGGGUUAGAGAGUGUACAGCUCCUAUUCAAGGCCGCCAUGGAGACGCUUUGCUGAAUUGUUGAGUGAGGUAACUUAUGUAGCCAUUAUCCCGUUCCAUUGCCUUCGUGGAUCUAUUCAGAGAGAAAAAGUAGUGUUUUUAUACUUUUACAAAACCAGGAAUUGUGCCACAUUUUCUGUAUCCAGGCCUCUGUCAAAGUGCAUCUGGGUUCUUUCCAGCUCCUGCCCGUUAUAAAUAAGGCUGCAAUGAACAUAGUGGAGCAAUUACCUAUGAUUUCUUGAAGUCAUGGUUUUUUACAGCUGAAUAGUACUCCACAGUGUAGAUGUGCUGUAGAAAUGUGGGAUGAUGUCACUGGUGAGGCAGGUACAAGAUAGAAUGAGGCCUCUCAUUGGAGGAGAAGGAAGGAUGUGUGGGAGGAAUAUCUGAAGGAAGGGGAGGAGACUGGAAGGGAAGGGAAAGGAAGGGAACGGAAGAGAAGGAGGAGUGUGGAGAAGCCACAUGGCGAGAACACUGAAGGUGACCUUAGGAUUCCACUCUCUGCUUUUACAGGUUGUUAUGAAUGUUCCUGGGGAUGGAUGACUAGAGGGCCUUUACGUUUGGGUGGGAAAUUAUAUCGUAUAAAUUGAAUCAAAGUUCAUUGUGUUCUGUGUUCGCUCAUGUGCAUUUAUAAGGUAAGACAGUUUGCUGCUACUAUUCUUGGCCGCCAUGGAGAAGCUUUGCUAAAUGAGGUCAGAUAUCUAGCAGUCAUUCAUCUUGUAGCAUUUCCUUGCUGGAUUUAGUCGGACAGAAAAAGUAGCAUUUUGUUUUUUAUAUUUUUACAGUACCAGAGCUAUUACCACAUGUUGAGUAUCCAUUCCUCUGUCAAAGGGCGUCUGGGUUCUUUCUAGCUCUUGCCCGUUAUAAAUAAGGCUGCUAUGCAUAUAGUGGAGCAAUUACCUAUGAUUUCUUGAAGUCAUGUUUUUUUAGGGCUGAAUAGUACUCCACAGUGUAGAUAUGUUGCAGAAAUGUGGGAUGAUGUCUCAGGUGAGGCAGGUACAAGAUAGAAUUAGGCUUGACUUUGUAUGAGAAGAAAGGAUGUGCUGGAGAAAAGUUUGAGGGACGGGGAGGAGACUGGAAUGGAAGGAAAAGGAAGAGAGGGAGGAAUGUAGAGAAGCCAUGCGGAGAGAACAUGAAGGUGACUUAGGAUUCCACUCUGGGCAUUUAUUUACAGGUUGUUAUGAAUGUUCUUGAGGGAUGGAUGUGUAUAGGGCUUUGUAUGUUUAUGUGGGGAAUUAUAUCUUAUAAAUUGUAUUAAUGGUUAUUUUGUUAUGUGUUCCCUCAUGUACAGAUUUAAGAGUAAGAGAGUGCAGAGGCUAGUCUAGGCCACCACAGAGUUGGGAUGUGUGUUUCUGGAAACGUGCCUUGGGAACUAGAUAGGUAGAGAGAUUGCUGCCAGGCUCAGAGAGAGGCCUUCAGCAGUGUGAUAUGGGAUGGAGCUGAGCGGGUGAGACACUUUGCUGAAUGAGAUUGAGAUGCUGCCAGGCUCAGAGAGAGGCCUUCAGCAGUGUGAUAUGGGAUGGAGCUGAGCGGGUGAGACACUUUGCUGAAUGAGACUGAGAUAUCUAGCAGUUAAAUUGGGGCACUAUGGUGCCGGGUCUAGAGGGGAAUGGUAAAAGUCCAUUUUUUUUAUAAUUUUACAACAACACAUGUGGACCACAAAAUGAGUAAAAAUAUUGAAAUGGAAACUGUUCACACUAUGAGUCAGUAUAUUCAUGAGACAAGAAACAGAACCACUUUUGAGAGGCAAAAACAGCUAAGAACUUUAAAAAUUGCCAGAAAGUUAAUCAGUCAAUCAAAUAGAUAUUACCAUUCUGAAUAGUAAAUUCAAUAUACAAUAUGCUGAUAUUUAUACUAAGUGGCCAAAAAGUACACAGAAAUGAUAUAUGAAUAAUGUAUUUCACAGCAUUACUUUUUUGCACAAAUCCUAUGAAAGUAGACCAGUUUUAAAUUCUUGAAUGAACUUUAUUUAAUUUUUACUAAUGGCAUAAUAUCUUCGACAUAUGUCAAAAAUCUUGGACAUACAUGGUAGCUCUGCUGUACCAAGAAAACAGCUAUUGUCUUUUAGUAGUAGCAGCUCCAUUUCUUCCUUCUUGCCCUGGGAAGGUCCUUCAUUUUCCUGCCACAAUUUCUCAUGAAGCAGAUUGUGCUCACUUCAUAUCUCUCAGUUCCUUUUCAACAGAAAUAGAGAACACUCUGAAGCAGUUCAAAGAAGCAGGGCUAAGUAUCUGGGGAUUUGAAAUACUUAUUUACCAGCCAGUUUUAGGCCUUGGCCUCUAUACCAGCGUCUGCACCCUUUUAAAUUCAAUGACAUUGUACCCAGCAAAAAUCUUCUGGAUAUAGGUUUUUGUUUAACAUGGAAUACUUCCAGAAGACAAAAUGUAUAUUUAUUUUUUUGUUUCCUCCCUCAGAAAUUAUUUUUCCCAUAUUUUUUAAUCUAUAUUUUCAACUUUUUGAUUAACUAAAGAUGUAUACCAUCUUCAAGAUUAGAGGUUUAAUUUUAUAUUCUAAGGAAUAAAUUUUAAUACUUGUUACUCAUAUCAGUGUAGCCACAGGAGUAAGAUCUAUACUUUUGUAUUUCAAUGUUACAUGUGUAUCACUUCAGAUUUUCUGUUGUGUAAAACAAGUAGGGAAAAGAAAUAAAAAUUUGUUGUUAGAAUGCUAUCUAUGUACAGGCCACAUAAAUGUUCAUUUUUAACCAAGUAUUUAUUUGUUCUGGCUUAUGGGAUUAAUACAAAAGUAAAUGAAAACCUUUCCUAAUAACUCAUGAUAGACUUUCCUGGAUAAAUUGUAAAUGUGUAGGUGUCCCUUCCAUAUGGUUUUAUAGUCAGGAAUGCUUAUUACAUUUCAUGAAUUGCAAAGCUGAAGAAGUCAAGCAUGGCAUCUCAUGUGUACUUAUUAAGAUAAGCACUGUAAUAUGGGAAUUUAGAUCAUUAGUGAUUCAAAACAAUCCAGACUCAUAUGUUAAUGUUAAGUAUUUCUGAGUAUAGGAUUAGGGAAUUUCUUUUUAUUAUUUGUCUUUUAUAAAUUUUUAUAAUAAGCAAGCAAUGUUAAAAUAAUUUUCUUUUUUAUUUUCCUCAUCUUAAAUUUUUUUGCUGGGUAUUUUUUUAUUUACAUUUCAAAUGUUACUCCCUUUUCCUGUUUCUUCCUCAUCCAUCCCACUUUCCUGCUGCCCCCCCCCCCACAUUCUCCUGCACAGGGGAGAACCUUGGGAGAACCAAAGGGCUUCUCCUCCCAUUUAUGCCCAACAAAGCCAUCCUCUGCUUCAUAUGCAACUUGAGCCAUGGAUCAAUCCAUGUAUACUCUUUGGGUAGUGGUUUAGUCCCUGGGAGCUGUGGUUGGUUGGCAUUGUUGUUCUUACCUGGUUUUGGUUGUUCUUUCAGUCUCUCUGCUCUUAACUUUGCCUCCAUAUCCCCUCCUAUGAAUAUUUUUGUUCCCCGUUUUAAGAAGGAGUGAAGCAUCCACACUUCGGUCAUCCUUCUUGAGUUUCAUGAGGUCUGUGGAUUAUAUCUUGGGUAAUUUGAGCUUUUGGGCUAAUAUCCACUUAUCAGUGAGUACAUGCCAUGUGUGUUUUUCUCUGACUGUGUUACCUCACUCAGCAUGAUAUUUUCUAGUUCAGUCCAUUUGCCCAUGAUUUCAUGAAGUCAUUAUUUUUUAUAGCUGAGUAGUAUUCCACUGUGUAGAUGUGUUGUAGAAAUGUGGGAUAAUGUCUCAGGUGAGGCAGGUACAAGAUAGAAUGAGGCCUCUCAUUAGACAAGAAGGAAGGAUGUGCAGGAGGAAAGUCUGAAGGAAGGGGAGGAGACUGGAAGGGAAGGGAAAGGAAGGGAACAGAAGAUAAGAAAGAGUGUGGAGAAGCCAGGCAGACAGACUGUGAAGCUGACAUGGAUAUUUCAAUCUGGGCAUUUACAGGCUGUCAUGAAUGUCCUUGACAGAUGGAUUUGUAUAAAGCUUUGUAUGUUUAUGUGGGGAAUUAUGCCUCAUAAAUUAUAUCAAAGGUUAUUGUGUUGUGUUUUCCCUCAUGUUCAUUUUUAAGGGUUAGAGAGUGUACAGCUCCUAUUCAAGGCCACCUGGAGACGCUUUGCUGAAUUGCUGAAUGAGGUAACUUAUGUAGCCGCUAUCCUGUUCCAUUGCCUUCCUGGAUCUAUUUGGAGAUAAAAGGUAGCAUUUUGUUUUUUUAUAUUUUUAUAAAACCAGAGCUACUAUACAUGUAUCCAUUCCUCUGUGGAUGGGCGUCUGGGUUCUUUCCAGCUCCUGCCCAUUAUAAAUAAGGCUGCUAUCAACACAAUGGAGCAAUUGCCUAUGAUUUCAUGAAGUCAUUGUUUUUUAUAGCUGAGUAGUAUUCCACUGUGUAGAUGUGUUGUUGAAAUGUGGGUUACUGUCAAAGGUACAAGACAGAAUGAGGUCUGUCAUUGGAUGAGAAGGAAGGAUGUGCAGAAGAAAAGUUUGAGGGAAGGGGAGGAGACUGGAAUGGAAGGUAAAGGUAGGGACGUGAAGAGAGGAAGGAGUGUAUAGAAGCUAUACUGAGAGAACACUGGAGGUGACCUUAAGAUUAUACUCUGUAUUUAUAAGUUGUUAUGAAUGUUCUUGAGGGAUGGAUGUGUAUAGGGAUUUGUAUGUUUAGGUGGGGAAUUAUAUCUUGUAAAUAGGAUCAAAGGUUAUUUUGUUGUGUGUUCCCUCAUGUGCAUUUUUAAGGGUAAGAGAGUGUGCUGCUGCUAUUCUAGGCUGCCAUGGAGAUACUUUUCUGAAUGAGGUCAUAUAUCUUGCGGUUAUCUUUGGUCAUUGUAGUGCUGGAUCUAGUCGGAGAUAAAAGGUAGCAUAUUGUUUUUUAUAUUACAAAACCAUAGAAGUACCACAUUUUCUGUAUCUAUUCCUUUGUCAAAGGUCAUCUUGUUUCUUUCUAGCACCUGCCUAUUAUAAAUAAGGCUGUUAUGAACAUAGUGGAACAUGUGUCCUUGCUGAAUUUUUUUUUUAGCAUUCAAUCAGAUGUAUGGACUGAUAGGAAUUUUGGAAGUGACAUAAGUAAUGGGUUAGAAAAGAGCAAAAGGGGGAAAGCUCAUCCAUUGUUCUUCUUGUCAUUCUUUUGGUAUUAGCUUACAAAGGAGUAAAUUUUAACAUAAUAUCAUUUAUGUGGACUUUAUGUGGAAUUUUUUUCCUGUCCUUUGCCACAACUCCUGCUUGUGCUAGUCCUUCUUGGAAGUCCCUUUCCUCUUCCUUGUCAUACUCUUUCUUUUAUUUUGAAAGUUCCCUUAAGACCUUUUUAACUGCAAUGAUCCCAUUCUAUGUCUCAUGUUCUGAUUCUUGAUUGGUUUAUUUCUUUGGUUAAUAGAGACAAAUUUCUCAUGGGCUCUCUGAAAAGAGACAUUGUAAGUGAUAACAUUUAACCCAUAAUAGGAUGCAAUAAGACAGUACGCAGUGCCUAAACUAUAUAUCAUUUGAUAGUAAAAUAAUCUUUUCCCAUAUAAUAUUUUUAACUUAUCUUUGGUUAAUGUCUGUUGUAGACUAGCUCUCUAUGUAAUCAGAUUUUUUUUGAAAUUUUAGUACUUUGCAAAUACUGAAUUAAAUAAUCCUGAAUAAAUUUGUAAAAGAUAACAAUGAGUACCCUAAGGAUCACAAUUCUAAGAGAUACUCCCAGUUGUCCCUGACUAUAAUUUCCGAAGAAAUUCUCUGGAGAUAAGAAUAAUCAUUAUUAUAGUUAUCAAUGACUAACCUUUAAAAAUGUCUUGGUUUGUGGCUGUAUUUCAAAUAUUAAUAUUAAAAAGUCUCUGGAUUAACACUUCCACUGCUUUAUGACUGUUUUCAUACAAAAGUCAGAAUUAAAAAUUCAAUUUUGGUUUUAAUAUAUUUGUUAAUUUUUAUUUUAUGAAAAUACAUUUUUCUUGUCUUUUUAUCAAUUCACUUAUUUGUGAUUCAUCAGUAAAUAUUUAUUUGCUUUCUAGGUGACAGGCAUAUUAUAAAUAUUGUGAAAUAUAAAGAUGACUCAAGGUAUAGUCCCUGAACUCAGGUGGCUCAUAGAGUAAGUGUCCUUCCUUAUUCCCCUUACUGUCUUUCUAACAGUCCUGCUGUCUUAGAAAACUCUUUUGUUUUCAUCUUUCACCUUUCCCCAAACCUUAGCAUUUCAUUUGAACUAUGAUUACAUAAAGUUUUCAUAACCUGGAGAUACCUUUUUCAGUUGCUUAAUAUUUAGAAUGAGUGGCACAAAUAGCAUGUGUAUAGUGCUCCACAUCUUCUUGUCCCAACUUUUUAAUGUUGUUGCUGUGGCAACCAGCUGCAGGCCUCAGGGCAACUGACUUCAACUAUACCAUGUACCUCUCCUUUCUGUCAAGUGACUUGUUGCCCAGUAAAAAUUGUAUUUCAUAUAGGAUACUAUUCUUUUAAACAUAUGUGCACCAAAUACUGUAAGGUAUUCACAUGUGUUAAUUAAAUUUGUGGUUUGUGUUUAGUUCAUAUUUAAUUUGGUGCCUUCUAUUUUUUACAUUUAUUAAAUUUUGGCAACUUUACUUGUAAAGCUGUCUCUUUACAUUAAUAUUCAAAAGAAGCAACUUCUGACCAUUACAGGAAAUGGCCCAUUUGACAGACUCAAUGCUACUGUCACUUGAGUGGAUUCUUUUUACUGUGAUACUGGAGAUCAAACCUAAGAAGUCAUCCAUGACAGGCAAGCACUUAGCAAUUCAGCUACAUACCUAGUCAGGUGGGUAAUUUUGUGAAAAUCCUAUAUAACUUCUUAGAAGAAUCCAAUCUCACACAGGACUAAGCCCCUUUUUUCAUGACUAUGACUUACAUUGAGAAAGUGUAACCUAACUUUUUUUCUUUCAGAGUGACUUUGAGAAUGGCAUUUAGCUUUUUAUGCUUAUUUGCCACAUUCAUCAUUUGUGUUAUACAAGCAAAUAGCAUUCCCCACGUGUGAGGCCUCAUAGUUCUAGAUUCCUUUUUGUGUUUCCCUUUCUUAGAAACCAGAUGCUUUUGAUUCCACAGUAUUUUCAUAUAGCAUCCUCUUAAAACAGACCAUAAACCUUUGUCUCCAACAAUGGAUUUACCCACCUCUUAUUUUCGAGACAGGGUUUCUCUUUGUGUUAUCUCUUGCUGUCCUUGAACAAAUUUAAUAGACCAGGCUGACCAUGAACUAGAGAUCCAUCUGGCUCUAGUUCCAAGUGCUGUGAUUAAAGUCAUGGAUCACCACCUGGCCUAUAUUUAUACACAUUUACCCUGAUGGAAAAGACAAAAGCUAGACCUUCAUUUUUGGAAGGUUUAAGAUGCAUAUAUGGUGAUGGUUUUCUGGCUGAAGAUUCUGAAAGAGGCAUAGUGCAUCAUGUGGCAAGGCCAGGACAUGUACAUGUUUCUUUUAGACUCUUUCCAUCUAAAAAUAACAUUAAUUUUCAAUCAUGGUAUUCUUCCACGAUGACCUUAAUCAAUUUCAGUCACUUCUGAAAGGCAUACUUUUAAAACAUUGUAGUCUGAUCAGGUCAUGAAUCCUUGUGGGAAACACUUAAGUCCAGAGCCAAGGUUUAGGACAUUAUAUCUAAUAAUUUUUCACUUUACUAUCAUCUAUAUAGCUUCCCCAUGUGUAGUUAUUUUGGUCACUGAAAUUGUUGGCACAUGUUUUGCUGUUGUAUUUUGAUCAAUCUCUAAAAAGUUCUCUUGUUUCAUUUGUUCUCAUCAGUUUUUUUUUUUAAUCAUUAAAGUGAUGAAACCUAUUUUUUUGUUGUUGUUGUUACAGGAUUACCUUAGUCUGGUACCUAUGAAUGUAGAAAUUUCUAAUGAGGUUAUAGAGGAAUCACUUAAAAAGGUAAUUCCUUAUUGGGGUAAAAGUCUCUUUUUCCAGGAUUCUCAUUUUUUGCUACUUAUGAAUAGCAGUUACUGAUAUUAAAGAGAAAUUAUGUAAAAACAGAGUUUCUUAUUGGAGUAAAAACUAUAUGUUGGUCCUAUCAAUAGAUACCAUGUUAUUGAAGUUAUAUACUAUAAGUUUUUGUAUGUUUUGAAUUAGAAGCUUGGUAUGUACCAUAGUGUGGCCUACAAAUUACUGUGUAAUUGAGAAAAUUCUUGAGCUUGUGCUGCUUCCGCCUUAGUAUACUGAAUGUUGGGAUUGCAGUUCUGUACCAUGUGUUGCUGCUGUGAAUGAGAAAUUAAUAUUCAUGAAGUAGGUUUUGAUCUUACCUAAUAACUAUGAUAAACUGAGUGGUGAAUUCCUCUUUGCUUAGCCUACUAGUUCACCAGAACCAACGAAUUACUCAGGAUUAGCCAGAAUAUCAGAUUGAUUAAAUAAUUCAGUCCUGAUUUUCCAUUUCUAUUAAACAAUAUAUGUAAUAGGUAGAAAUAGGAAUUCUGCUUUGUUUUUAUGUAAAUAAUGCAGCAGUCAGCAUGAUCUUCUCUAGUUAGAAAUGGAGACACAAAAUACUCAUGUCUAAGGUUCCCCCAUUGAUGCCAAAUUUCUCCUCAUUAACUAUUUCAACUUUGUAACGUAUAUGAUUUUCAAAUCAGUGCUACAUAUAUAGUUCAGUACAUUUUCAGGUCUAAAAGAGAGUAAACACUAUUUAGUCUUGAGAACUGAAACUAUUUGGGAAAAUGAAUUAUGAGAAAUGUCUUCCAAAGUAGACUUUUUUUCAGUAUCUAUAAAUUAUAAAUUUGGAAGGCCAUUUUUACAUCUUGAAAAUAGUAGGACUUGGGCUUUUACAAUUAUGGUUCUAAUUCAAGGUAUUCAACUGCAGAAGAGGAAUUGAUUGUUAAUCUAAAGAAGAAAAUAUGUGGCUUUGUUUUCAGGCACUGUUUUGGACAAAUCAACCUUACUAAAACAAUGUAAUAAACAUUGUUCUUUUGGUUCAAAAAUACAUUGAAUUGUGUAUGUUCAGUAUGUGUUACUUUUACUUAAAGAUGGUUAUUAGUUCAAGUCUGUAACAAGGAAACAUAAAGAGGAAGAAAAGGAAGAUCAACAAACUGAAAAAUAAAUAAAUCAUUGUUUACCUUUUUAAGAAAACUCAGUUCAAAAUCUCUAUAGGUAGCAAUUUUGCCUCAUAUUUCCUUGCCAAGUUUCAAAGUGUUCCUAAUAGUUCUAACAUCUAUGAGAUUUGGGAGUAUUAAAGUAAAAUAAUGAUUGCUCUUGACUAUUUCUGAAGCAACUUCUUGAUUGGAAAGUUUUUUUUUUCAGUGUCAUUGCAUAUGCUGAGUAUAUUUUCUAAUAAUGACAUGUAUCUUCAUCUGUAGGAAAAUGGUUUUCAGAUAUAAAUUACAGUUGUCAUUUUUAGCUGAUCUCUAGUAAUUACAAAUAUUUUUCUUUCAGUUUCUUUAAGAGCAUUCCUAGGCUGAAUACUUCAUUAAAGGUACACAGAAGCUGUUGUGCCUAAUGUGCAUUCCACUGCAGUGAAAAGAUACAUAAUUCAAUAGUAUAAUGGGAUAAGAGGCAUAAAGUGAGUUCUUGUAAAAACAAACUUAAAUUUCCAUAUGUUUUCUCUGGAUGGAAUUACCUAGAAUGUAUUAUUCUUCAAAUGAGUGUGUGAAAAUAUCUAUAAAUAUUAGUGGUAAGAGGGACCUACUUGAACAUAGUUGUCCAAGGUUUUAUUUUAGUUCAGUCAUUUAGACAUGCAAUAACUACACAACUGAGGUAAACUAGUCAAUAUCAGGAACAAAGCAAAAACAUGUACAAGUAUGUUGGACCUCCUAGGUUACGUGUCUAAAGAAGGCCUCAGGCAUCUGAAAACUAUUUUCAGAUCCAAAAUUUAAGGACUAUGGGUAAACUCUGACACUUGUCAAGGACCAAUAGUGCAAAAGAACAUUUCCUAGGCAUAAGCAUGGCAUGAACAAUUAAAUUAAAUUGGCAAAAAUCUAGUAAUAUUUAUGUUUAAAAGAUCUUCAUUUUUAUAAAACCUUUUAUAUACAGUUUUUUGUUUUUUAUGGAGUGUCAAGCAUAAAAAAAUAUCUGAAUGUCUUAGAUGCCUUAAUGGCUUAAGCGUGAAGUCUAUUUUGCAAAACUUACUUCUUAUCGUUAAUGUGACCAUUGCUAUAAAUCUUAAUAUUCAGUCACUAUUUUAGUAAUAAUAAAAGACCAUGUUCACUUUUUACUUUCUGGAUAUGAUAUUGUUACUUCUUAUGCAGAUUGAAACAUUGAUGUGCUGUUUGUUUUUGCUUAUUUACAGCAGGAUGAUAUUUUAGGUCGUGGGAUUUAAAUUUGAGAUUGACAUCUUAUCCAUCCCAGCAGAUUGUAUAGUAUGUACUUAAAAUUUUAGAAAUAGUAAUAGGAAGCUUCUAGCUAAGUUCCAAUUUGCUUUAGCUAUACAAUGAUCCUUGAACCUUGGUGGGAAGGGUGCGAUAUAUAGAUACUCAAUUUAGGGCUGUGUUCACUGCAAUAUCUUACUGUCUGCACAUUAGUAAAUAGAUGUUCUUCAUGUUGUUAUUGUCCAGUGGAAGAAGUAGCUUCUUUGAUGUGAGGUAAAAUACUGGGAGUCAGUUUAAUACUAUCCCCAUGGAGCCUAAUAAUUUUAGUAGGUUCUGCUCUAUGGACUAUGAUGUUUCAAAAUAAUUGUGAUGAAUAUUUUUAAUGUAUAUGAUCACUUUAAUUGCUUUUAGAUUCCAAAUUUUAUUCCUCUCCUGGUCCAGCCUCCAACUGUUCCACAUUCCACAUCUCCCCCACCUCAACUACCCCACCAGACCUCUAAACUUCCUGGGGCCUCCAAUGUCUUGAGGGUUAGGUAUAUCUUCUCUGACUGAGACUAGACCCGGGAGUCAUCUACUGUAUACAUGUUGGAGGACUCAUCUCAGCUGGUGUAUGCUACCUGGUUGAUGGUCCAGUGUGUGAGAGAUCUUAGGAGUCCAGGUUGAGACUGCUGGUUCUCCUACAGGGUUGCCCUCCUUCUCAGCUUUCUCCAGCUUUUCCCUAAUUCAGCCACAGGGGUCAGCAGCUUCUGUUCAUUGUUUUGGUGCACAUAUAUGCAUCUGACUCCUUCAGCUGUUUGUUGGGUCUUUUGGCAGGCAGUCAUGACACAUCCCAUUUUGUGAGUGCCCCAUAGCCUCAGUAAUGGUGUCAGGUUUUGGGGCCUCCCAUUGUGCUGGAUCCUACUUUGGGCCUGUCACUGGACCAUCUUUUCCAUUUCCAUCCCUGCAUUUCUUUCAGACAGGAAGAAUUAUAUGGGUCAGAGUUUUGACUGUGGGUAGCAAGCCAGACCCAAAAGGACCUGCACUGUUUGUUCUAAAGUGGAUAUUUGCCCAAAAAAGUACAUAAUACCCAAGAUAUAGUCCACAGAACUCAAAAAGGUCAACAAGCUGAAGGGCCCAAGUGAGGAGGGUGCACUUGGGAGGGAGAAGAAGGAAGGCAAUCACAAGGGGAAUUGGAGGGAGCAUUGGAUAUUGGAUAGGGGAAAAGGACUGAAGCCGAGGGCCAGCUUAAAGAACAGAAACACGAUUUUGGGAGGAAGGAGUAGGGGAGGACCCUCCAGAAUGUACCAGAGACCUAGGAAGUGAGCGACAAGAAAGACUCAGUGGAGAGUGUAUUGGAUGAAAUGUCCUAUAGUGGCAAGAGGGAACUUGUUGAGCCCACCUCCAGCCGAAAGACAGGGUAUCAAGUGAGGGGUUGCCUUAAUUCUUUAAAGUUCUUUUCAGUUUAGAAAUAGACUAAACUUGGUGCUCCGCAGUUUGAAAGCAUAUUUAAUGUAUCAGUCUUUGUUUACUAUGGUUAACAUUGCCUAACAUUUUAAUUUCAAAUUGUUUAAUGGUAUCUCCACUUUUUUGCAUGACUCAGUUAAAGAAUUUCACUUUCUGUGUCAAAAAUAAGUGAGUUAAAGGACCAUGUCUGAUAACUCUGCCACCAUGAAUGUAGGUAAAGUUUACUUCCAACUUCUUCUAGAUUUCCUCCUGCGUCAAUGGAAACAAGAUCUUUGUGAUCAUUUGAGUUUAAAGGAAAACAUUUUACUAGUGGUAAUUAUAGAUAGUGUAAAGAGUUGUAGGUAAUAUAUAAGAUUAUCGCAAACCAUUUUGUAGCUUCUAUGGAGAAAAUAUUUAUUUUAGGUAAUUGUUUUCCUUUUUUAUUUUUGCAUUGAGGAUGUUAACACAACUUCCUGUGUUUCUGAAGCAUUCUUCUGGCUCCUCUGUGUGAGUAUGAGUAGUUAUAAAGAUAAUGGUUAGUUCUGAGUUUGAGGAAAUCUACAUAAGGGCUCCAUGUGUACUGCCAUUGUGUAAGUAAACAAUUUAGAAGUAUAGACACUGUUUGCUAUUGUUUCUGCUUGUCUGCUGCUUACAACCAACUUAUAACCCAAGACAAAGUACUAAAGAUGUAUUAGUGGAUUUCUGUUCUAUAGAGUGUCUUUGUAAGACCUAUUUUUUCCUGAUUCUAAGUUAAAUAAUAUAAGGAUAGUGACAUACUUAAAUAGUGGAAGAACUUCUUUAAUAUGGACUGUUUUUCAUAUGUUCACCCUCAAAAUUCCAUAGACACAUAAGGUUAAGAAAACAAACAUAUUUCUUCUCUAUAUAAAUUACGAUCUUUAAUUUCAAGAAGAAAGGAAAUGGUUGUUUCUCAUAUUCAAGUCAAGAUUUGAUUAUAGGUGAAAUGCUAUAUGAAUUUUAAUUUCUCAUAGAAGUGCGAGAUAGGAUAGGCUUAUGAAUAGAACAGGUUGAAGAUUCUUUUUAUCUGACUUUACUGAAUAGAUCUGAGCUUUAAAGUUAGAGCACAAGAAUUACAUCUCAGAAUGUAAAGGAAGAGAAAUUUCACCUUAGAGGUCUAAGGAAAUGCUAAGCUGAUAGGAGGAAAAGGAAAGCCCUUUUUGGUCUAAGAUUACUUCACUUUUGUAAUUCACUGAUAUGAGUACAAAUUUCUGUUUGCUCUCAAGUUAUGCCAAAGAAAGUUUUUAAUACUUCUCUUCAUGGGAUUUGGGAUGUAGUGGUAUGAUGGGAGAGAUUUUUUAUGCUAAUGUCAUCUUUUUUUAUCUUUAUUAACUUGAGUAUUUCUUAUUGUCAUUUCGAUUGUUUUUCCCCUUCCCAGUUUCCUGGACAACAUCUCCCUCCCCUUAUAUAUGGGCUUCCCCUCCCCCCAUUACCACCCUUCCCCCAACAAUCUCUUUCACUAGGUGUUCAGUCUUGGCAGGACCAAGGGCUUCCCCUUCCACUGGUGCUCUUACUAGGCUAUUCACUGCUACCUGUGAGUUGGAGCCCAGGGUCAGUCCAUGUAUUAGUGUUUGGGUAGUGGCUUAGUCCCUGGAAGCUCUGGUUGGUUCGUAUUGUUGUUCAUGUGAGGUCUCGAGCCCCUUCAAGCUCUUCCAGUCCUUUCUCUGCUUCCUUCAACCUGGCUCCCGUUCUCAGUUCAGUGGUUUCCUGGACUAUGUAUUUGCUGAAUUCUGGGUGUGUCUCUCAGGCGAGAACUACAUCCGUUCCUGUUGGUAUUCACUUCUUUGCUUCAUCCAUCUUAUCUACUAUGGUGGCUGUAUAUGUAUGGGCCACAAGUGGGGCAGGCUCUGAAUGGGUGUUCCUUCUGCUUCUGUUCUAAACUUUGCCUCCCUAUUCCCUCCCACCAGUAUUCUUGUUCCCCUUUUAAAGAAGGAGUGAGGUAUUCGCAUUUUGGUCAUCCUUCUUGAGUUUCAUGUGUUCUGUGCAUCUAGGGUAAUUCAAGCAUUUGGGCUAAUAGCCACUUAUCAAUGAGUGCAUACCAUGUGUGUUUUUCUGUCAUUGGAUUACCUCACUCAGGAUGAUAGUUUCCAGUUCCAUCCAUUUCCCUAUAAAGUUCAUAAAGUCAUUGUUUUUGAUAGCUGAGUAAUAUUCCAUUGUGUAGAUGUACCACAUUUUCUGUAUCCAUUCCUCUGUUGAAGGGCAUCUGGGUUCUUUCCAGCUUCUGGCUAUUAUAAAUAAGGCUGCGAUUAACAUAGUGGAGCACGUGUCUUUUUUAUAUGUUGGGGCAUCUUUUGGGUAUAUGCCCAAGAGAGGUAUAGCUGGAACCUCAGGUAGUUCAGUGUCCAAUUUUCUGAGGAACCUCCAGACUGAUUUCCAGAAUGGUUGUACCAGUGUGCAAUCCCACCAGCAAUGGAGGAGUGUUCCUCUUUCUCCACAUGCUCGACAGCAUUUGCUGUCACCUGAGUUUUUGAUCUUAGCCAUACUGACUGAUAUGAGGUGAAAUCUCAGGGUUGUUUUGAUUUGCAUUUCCCUUAGGACUGAAGAUGGUGAACAUUUCAUUAGGUGUUUCUCAGCCAUUCUGCAUUCCUCAGCUGUGAAUUCUUUGUUUAGUUCUGAACCCCAUUUUUUAAUAGGGUUAUUUGUCUCCCUACCAUAUAUCUUCGUGAGUUCUUUGUAUAUUUUGGUUAUAAGCCCUCUAUCUGUUGUAGCAUUGGUAAAGAUCUUUUCCCAAUCUGUUGGUUGCCGUUUUGUCCUAACCACAGUGUCCUUUGCCUUACAGAAGCUUUGCAGUUUUAUGAGAUCCCAUUUGUCGAUUCUUGAUCUUAGAGCAUAAGCCAUUGGUGUUUUGUUCAGGAAGUUUUCUCCAGUGCCCAUUUGUUUGAGAUGCUUCCCACUUUUUCUUCUAGUAGUUUGAGUGUAUCUGGUUUGAUGUUGAGGUCCUUGAUCCACUUGGACUUAAGCUUCGUACAGGGUGAUAAGCAUGGAUCCAUCUGCAUUCUUCUACAUGCUGACCUCCAGUUGAACCAGCACCAUUUGCUGAAAAUGCUAUCUUUUUUCCAUUGGAUGGUUUUGGCUCCUUUGUCAAAAAUCAAAUGACCAUAGGUGUGUGGGUUCAUUUCUGGGUCUUCAAUUCUAUUCCAUUGGUCUGUCUGUCUCUGUACCAAUACCAUGCAGUUUUUAUCACUAUUGCUCUGUAAUACUGCUUGAGUUCAGGGAUAGUGAUUCCCCCUGAAGUCCUUUUAUUUUUGAGGAUAGCUUUAGCUAUCCUAGGUUUUUUUGUUAUUCCAGAUGAAUUUGCAAAUUGUUCUGUCUAACUCUUUGAAGAAUUGGAUUGGUAUUUUGAUGGGGAUUGCAUUGAAUCUGUAGAUUGCUUUUGGUAAAAUGGCCAUUUUUACUAUGGCAAUCCUGCCAAUCCAUGAGCAUGGGAGAUCUUUCCAUCUUCUGAGGUCUUCUUCAAUUUCUUUCUUCAGAGUCUUGAAGUUCUUACUGUUCUUUUACAUGCUUGGUUAAAGUAACACCGAGUUAUUUUGUAUUAUUUGGGACUAUUAUAAAGGGUGUCAUUUCCCUAAUUUCUUUUUCGGCUUGUUUCUCUUUUGUGUAGAGGAGGGAUACUGAUUUAUUUUACUUAAUUUUAUAUACAGCCACUUUGCUGAAGGCGUUUAUCAUGUUUAGUAGUUCUCUGGUGGAACUUUUGCGAUCACUUAAAUAUACUAUCACAUCAUCUUCAAAUAGUGGUACUUUCCAAUCUGUAUUCCCUUUAUCUCCUUUUGUUGUCUGAUUGCUCUGGCUAGAACUUCAAGAACUAUAUUGAAUAAGUAGGGAGAGAAUGGGCAGACUUGUCUAGUCCCUGAUUUUAGUGGGAUUGCUUCAAGUUUCUCUCCAUUUAGUUUAAUGUUAGCAACUGGUUUGCUGUAUAUGGCUUUUACUAUGUUCAGGUAUGGGCCUUGAAUUCCUAUUCUUUCCAUGACUUUUAUCAUGAAGGGGUGUUGGAUUUUGUCAAAUGCUUUCUCAGCAUCUAAUGAAAUGAUCAUGUGGUUUUGUUCUUUUAGUUUGUUUAUAUAAUGGAUCACGUUGAUGGUUUUCCGUAUAUUAAACCAUCCCUGCAUCCCUGGGAUGAAGCCUACUUGAUCAUGGUGGAUGAUUGUUUUGAUGUGCUCUUGGAAUCGGUUUGCCAGAAUUUUUUUGAGUAUUUUUGCGUCAGUAUUCAUAAGGGAAAUUGGUCUGAAGUUCUCUUUCUUUGUUGGGUCUUUGGGUGGUUUAGGUAUAAGUAAUUGUGGCAUCAUAUAAGGAAUUCGGUAAUGCUCCAUCUGUUUCGAUUUUGUGGAAUAGUUUGGAUGGUAUUGGUAUGAGGUCUUCUAUGGAGGUCUGAUAGAAUUCUGGACUGAACUCAUCUGGACCUGGGAUCUUUUUGGAUGGGAGCCUUUUAAUAACUACUUUUAUUUCUUUAGGAGUUUCAGAGUUGUUUAAAUGGUUUAUCUAUUCCUGAUUUAACUUUGGUACCUGGUAACUGUCUAGGAAAUUGUCUAUUUCCUCCAGAUUUUCAAGAUUUUUUUGAAUAUAGGCUUUUGUAGUAGGAUCUGAUGACUUUUUGAAUUUACUCUGAUUGUGUAGUUAUAUCUCCCUUUUCAUUUCUGAUUUUGUUAAUUUGGACGCACUCUCUGUGUCCUCUCGUUAGUCUGGAUAAGGGUUUAUCUAUGUUGUUUUUUUCUCAACGAACCAACUUUUGGUUCUGUUGAUUCUUUGUAUGGUCCUCUCUGUUUCUACUUGGUUGAUUUCAGCUCUGAGUUUGAUUAUUUCUUGCCUUCUUCUCCUGGGUGUAUUUGCUUCUUUUUGUUCUAGAGCUUUUAGGUGUGGUGUCAAGCUGCUGGUGCAUGCUCUCUCCUGUUUCUUUCUGCACGCACUCAGAGCUAUGACUUUUCCUCUUAGUACAGCUUUCAGUAAGUUUGUGUAUGUUCUACCUUCAUUUUCAUUAAAUUCUAAGAAGUCUUUAAUUUCUUUCUUUAUUUCUUCCUUGACCAGGUUAUCAUUGAGUAGAGCAUUGUUCAACUUCCAUGUAUAUGUGGGCGUUCUUCCCUUAUUGAUGUUGAAGACCAGCUUUAUUCGUGGUGGUCUGAUAGGAUGCAUGGGAUUAUUUCUAUCUUUCUGUACCUGUUGAGGCCUGUUGUAUGACUAAUUAUAUGGUCAAUUUUAGAGAAAGUACCAUGAGGUGGUGCGAAGAAUGUAUAUCCUUUUGUUUUAGAAUAGAAUGUUCUAUAAAUAUCUGUUAAGUCCAUUUGGUUCAUGACUUCUCUUAGUCUGUCUAUAUCUCUGUUUAAUUUCUGUUUCCAUGAUCUGUCCAUUGAUGAGAGUGGGGUGUUGAAAUCUCCUACUAUCAUUGUGUGAGGUGCAGUGUGUGCUUUGAGCUUUAGUAAGGUUUCUUUUAUGUAUGUAGGUGCCCUUGUAUUUGGAGCAUAGGUAUUUAUGACUGAGAGUUCAUUUUGGUGUAUUUUUCCUUUGUUGAAUAUGAAGUGUUCUUCCUUAUCUUUUUUGAUGACUUUUAGUUGAAAAUUGAUUUUAUUUGAUAUUAGAAUGGCUACUCCAGCUUGCUUCUUCAGACCAUUUGCUUGGGAAUUUGUUUUCCAGCCUUUCUCUCUGGAGUAGUUUCUGUUUUUGUUUCUGAGGUGUGUUUCCUGUAGGCAGCAGAAUGCAGGGUCCUCAUUGCAUAUCCAGUUUGUUAAUCUAUGUCUUUUUUUUUUUGGGGGGGGGAGUUGAGACCAUUGAUGUUGAGAGAUAUUUAGGAGUAGUGAUUGUUGUUUCCUGUUAUAUUCGUAUUAGGAUGUGAGAUUGUGUUGUGUGCUUUUCCUUUCUUUGUUUUGUUGCCAAUAUGAUUAGUUUUUUCUAGGGUGUAGCUUGUCUCCUUAUGUUGGACUUUGCCACUCAUCCUUUGUAGGGCUAGAAUUGUAGAAAGAUCUUGUGUAAAUUUGGUUUCGUCAUGGAAUAUCUUGGUUUUUCCAUCUGUGUUAGUUGAGAGUUUUGCUGGAUGCAGUAACCUGUGCUGGCAUUUGUGUUCUUUUAGGGUCUGUAUGACAUCUGUCCACGAUCUUCUGGCUUUCAUAGUCUCUGGUGAGAAGUCUGCUGUGAUUCUGAUAGGUCUGCCUUUAUAUGUUACUUGACCUUUUUUUUUCCCUUACUGCUUUUAAUAUUCUUUCUUGGUUUUGUGCAUUUGCUGUUUUGACUAUUAUGUGACAGGAGGAGUUUGUUUUCUGGUCCAAUCUAUUUGGAGUUCUGUAGGCUUCUUGUAUGUUUAUGGGAAUCUCUUUCUUUUGUUUAGGGAAAUUUUCUUCUAUGAUUUUGUUGAAGAUAUUUACUGAUCUUUUAGCUCGAAAUCUUCACUCUCUUCUAUAACUAUUAUCCUUAGGUUUGAUCUUCUCAUUGAGUCCUGGCUGAGGUAAGACCUCCAUAUUAAGUAUAUUGUAUGCAAUUUCCUACUCAAAUGUUAGGUACUUGUGUAACUGAGACAGUUCUUGGCUGUUUUUCCUGAGAAAUUGGUAUAAAUUUUGUGCCUUUUGAAGACAUAGUCUUUACAGGAGUGACUUGAUAACCAUCUGUAUAGAUCUUCUCUAAACUAUCACAUUAGUAUAGUCUUAACAUUAAUACCUAAGAUUAGCAAAGAAAAUACCGACCAUAUGAUACAAAGGUGAAUAAAAGAAAUGAGGCAAGUUUAAGUCUCUAUUUAUAGUAAUUUAAUGACAUAUAACUUUGAAAGCAUGUUAAUUCUAACAAUCUACAUACUCAAGUUAAAUUCUUUCAGCAUUUUGAUAUCAGAGUACUCUAGGAAGAUUGUUGAAGUAUUCAGAAGAUGAUAGGAGUCAGAAAAGGUAGUACAAAGUUAAUUCAUGAGCACUUCAACCAUCCACAAAGUAAACACUGAGUAGGAUUUACACUGAGAGAAAUUUCUGGUAAAGGAUUAUGGAUUAGUUAAUCUAUAGGACAAAGGAGGAAGUAGGUCAGACUGCACAUAUCCUUUUCAUUGUAAUAAUAACCAAAUUUGGCAGAAAGAAAUGCUACAUCUGCCUCCAUUCCCUACAAAGCAUGUGGUGUGCAGUGCUCUAUUCAGAAUGUUGUGUGGAAUGUAAUAUGUAUGUAUAAGGUGUCAUCUAUAUGAGUUGUGUUUUCAGAUUCUGUUUAAGUAGGUUGGGUUUACCCUUCAAAAAACCCGACCCUCUGCUAGCCCUGAUGCAGUUUUCUAACUUUCCCCUAUGUCUUAUCCUAUGUGUUCUUUUGUAUAGCUUAUCUUUCCUCAUUACUUAUAUUUACCUUGUUCUCAUUUUUAGAUAUUUUUAGGCAUAAUCACAUCAAUCACACAAACACACACUUUUUCAUCACAUGCAAGGGCCAGUAUAUGAGACAGAACAAAUGGUUUUGUCUGAGUUAUGACAUGAAUAACUACAUGGAGCACCCUAUCAGUUUUUGUGCUAGGUGGCUGAAACACAUUCUCUGUAGAGUGUAAAGACAUGCUGAAUCCAUUUCAUUUAACAUCUGAGUGUGGCAGAUUUCCAGCUCUACAUCCUAGAGAAGUUUUCUCUUGUGUUAUGUAGGUCUUUAUUUACAUGGUUAUGAAUUCUUUAUAAUUUUCACUUCAACAACUCACAUAGGUUAUUUAACAUAAGACGAGAUUAAUGUUCACUCUAAGAGAAAAAAAGACCAGCUUAAUCAUAUGUUUAUCCUAUAGUUUCUGAAAAAGCUCAGGUAAACAGUAUGUAGCGCAGAGUACACAGUUAUAAAUUCAAUGUAAAUAUCAUAUUUGGCACUCAACAGGACUUCUGAAAAAUGAUUUGGGAAUUCUUGUAUUCUGUCCUUUGAGAAAUGGCAAGAUCUGCAGGGGACAUUAGAGUCAGCAGAGUCUAUGUUCAGUGCUCUACUUUAGUUGGGCGGCAGCCAAUGAACUGCAUCUAACUGGUUUCUCUCUGUAUAUAAAGAUGCCAAAAUUACAAUAUAUAUGGUGACAUGGAUAGUGAGGGUUGACAUACGGAUAGUGAGGGUUAUAUAUUAAAACCACUUGUGGACAUGUUCUUUAGUACCAAAACUGUCCUGCCAAACAUUUAUUUUAUCAGACAUAAUUUAUAGUUUCUUGGUUUGGCUUGGUAUUGAUACAGAAUUUUUUAAUGUAGCUUUGGCUGGCUUGGACUCACUUUGGAGACCCAACUAGUAUCAAAUUCACAGAGAUCUGCCUCCCUCUGUCUUCAGAGUGCUAGGCUUAAAGGUGUGUGGCAGCAGUGCUCAGUUUAUUGGGCACUCUUAAGGUUACUUUCAUGGAUAAUUCUCAAUGUAGAUUCAUCAAAUUUUGAGAAGGUGAAGGUGAAAUUGUUGUUUAGCCUAUAAAUAUAUUGUAAUAUCAAAAAUAGUAGCAAACAUGUUGUUCUCUUAGUACUUAUAAUCAUUUAGCUAAAAAGAAUACAAUUGAUAGAAUCUUCUUUAAUAAAAUAUAUGGUAAAGAAUACUGAAUUUGUUAUUUUGCAUGACUAUUGAUUGAAUCAACUCAUGGUAGUAGUAAUUUUUCUUUGUCAUGUAUUAAAAUCUAGAGGAGCUGAUGGUGAAUGAAGUUUUAGAAAAUUUUAAAGCGGCUAUUUAUCUGUGUGUUAUCUCGCCUAUGGCCCAGCUUUAAACACGAGUCUCAUAUUGUGUUGCUUAGUUUUUGUGAUCUCAGGGUGGUAGUGUCAGUACACUUGAAGUUUCCCUUGAAUUGGUUUCUCGUUAAAUAGGCAGUUUUGAUGUCUCUAAGAUAGACAUUCUUUACUUAUGAUGUCCAUUUUUUCCAACUCAUGAGAAUUAAAGAGAACAUGAUCAUGAAGAUUUAAGUUCUGGCUACAAGAAAAAGGCUAGUGAGAGCUUAUACCAUAAGUUUAGUAAUCAGUCGUUAAGAUUAAUAGAGACUAGGAAAAAGAAUUAAAGAUGUAAUGCAGUGGAGAUUAGUAGCUUGGAAAAGACCUAUAUUCAACAUGCUUUAUAAUUUCUGAUUUGAACAAUUACAGGUAUUUUAUUACUACAUAUAUAGAUCAUCUCAAAGAUGGUUGAAAAGUCAUGCUCAAAGAUAAAAUGUUUGUGAUGAGAGAUGAAAAAUAAUGGUAGUAAAACCAGAAGUACCCUAUACAUGCGUUCAAAGAACUCAGAAAUGUCUUCCCACAUACUUGUAAAUCAGAUAUCCAUUAAGUAACUUCAGGGGUAUGUUUUUAUUAUAAAAAUCAGGCAAUUAAAGAAAAACAUUAGGUUACAAUAUAAUACUUGGAAGUAUGGAAUUUCACCCCUUUGUCCUGUAAACAUUCACCUAAGGAGAAUGCAAGUUAAAUUUGUUAUGAGAAAUACCAUUGUUUAGAAACACUGGGUGGGGUGAUACUUAUUUUCUUUACAGUAAAUAUUAUGAGGAUAUAGUUGGUAUUAUUUUCUGGGAAUGUGACAAAGUCUCUUAAGACAUGAUGGACGCAUUGGCAAUAAAAAACAGUUCUCUAUGAUAAUGAUGACUUAAAUCUAUUUUUUUAAUUUUAUUGGAUGCAGUUAUUUACAUUUAAAAUGUUACACCAUUUCCUGGUUUCCUCCCCAUCCACCAACCCUUCCUCCUCCCUCCUGCAACAUAUUGCUACACGGGGGGUCCAACCUUGGGCUUCUCUCAUUGGCACCCAGCAAGGCCAUCCACUGCUACAUAUGUAGCUGAAGCCAUGGUUCGAUCCAUGUAUGCUCUUGCGGUAGUGGUUAGUCCCUGAGAGCUUAGUUGGUUGGCAUUAUUUUUCUCACCUGGUUUUGGCUCUUACUUCAGUCUCUGCUCGAAAAAUUGCCUGCAUAUCCCUUCCAAUGAAUAUUUUUGUUCCCGGUUUUAAGAAGGAGUGAAGCAUCCCCAUUUUGAUCAUCCUUCCUGAGCUUCCUGAGGUUCGAGAAUUAUGGCUUGGAUAUUUCGAACUUUUGGGAUAAUACCAACUUAUCAGUUAGUGCAUGCCAUGUGUGUUUCUCUCACACUGUAAAACCUCACUCAGUAUGAUAUUUUCUAGUUCAAUCCAUUUGCUAAUGAUUUCAUGAAAUCAUUGUUUCUUAUAGCUGAGUAGUAUUCCCCUCUGUAGAUGUGUUGUUGAAAUGUGGGAUGAUGUCUCAGGUGAGGCAGUUACAAAAAAGAAUGAGGCCUCUCAUUGGAUGAGAAGGAAGGAUGUGCAGGAGGAAAGUCUGAAGGAAGGAGAGGACACUAGACUGGAAGAGAAAGGAAGGGAACUGAAGAGAAGGAGGAGUGUGGAGAAGCCAGGCAGAGAGACUGAAUAUUCCAAUCUGGGCAUUUACAGGCUGUCAUGAAUGUCCUUGACAGAUGGAUUUAUAUAAAACUUUGUAUGUUUAUGUGGGGAAUUAUAUCUCACAAAUUGUAUCAAAGGUUACUGUGUUGUUUGUUCCCUCAUGUGCAUUUUUAAGGGUUAGAGAGUGUACAGCUCCUAUUCAAGGCCGCCAUGGAGAUGCUUUGCUGAAUUGCUGAGUGAGGUAACUUAUGUAGCCAUUAUCCUGUUCCAUUGCCUUCGUGGAUCUAUUCAGAGAGAAAAGGUAGUGUUUUACUUUUUAUAUUUUUACAAAACAAGUGCUGUGCCAUGUUUUCUGAAUCCAUGCCUCUGUCAAAGGGCAUCUGAGUUCUUUCUAGCUCCUGCCUCUUAUAAAUAAGGCUGCAAUGAACAUAGUGGAGCAAUUACCUAUGAUUUCUUGAAGUCAUGGUUUUUUACAGCUGAAUAGUACUCCACAGUGUAGAUGUGCUGUAGAAAUGUGGGAUGAUGUCACUGGUGAGGCAGGUACAAGAUAGAAUGAGGCCUCUCAUUGGAGGAGAAGGAAGGAUGUGUGGGAGGAAUGUCUGAAGGAAGGGGAGGAGACUGGAAGGGAAGGGAACGGAAGAGAAGGAGGAGUGUGGAGAAGCCACAUGGCGAGAACACUGAAGGUGACCUUAGGAUUCCACUCUCUGCUUUUACAGGUUGUUAUGAAUGUUCCUGGGGAUGGAUGACUAGAGGGCCUUUACGUUUGGGUAGGAAAUAAUAUCGUAUACAUUGAAUCAAAGGUUACUGUGUUCUGUAUUCGCUCAUGUGCAUUUUUAAAGGUAAGAGAGUUUGCUGCUACUAUACUAGGCCGCCAUGAAGAAGCUUUGCUAAAUGAGGUCAGAUAUCUAGCAGUCAACUUGUAGCAUUUCCUUACUGGAUUUAGUCGGAGAGAAAAGGUAGCAUUUUGUUUUUUUAUAUUUUUGCAAUACCAGAGCUACUACCACAUGUUGAGUAUCCAUUCCUCUGUGGAUGGUCUUCUGGGUUCUUUCUAGCUCUUGCCCGUUAUAAAUAAGGCCACAAUGAACAGAGUGGAGCAAUUACCUAUGAUUUCUUGAAGUCAUGAUUUUUUAGGGCUGAAUAGUACUCCACAGUGUAGAUAUGUUGCAGAAAUGUGGGAUGAUGUCUCAGAUGAGGCAGGUACAAGAUAGAAUUAGGCUUGACUUUGUAUGAGAAGAAAGGAUGUGCUGGAGAAAAGUUUGAGGGACGGGGAGGAGACUGGAAUGGAAGGAAAAGGAAGAGAGGGAGGAAUGUAGAGAAGCCAUGCCGAGAGAACACUGAAGGUGACUUAGGAUUCCACUCUCUGCUUUUACAGGUUGUCAUGAAUGCUCUUGAGGGACGGGUUUGUGUAGUGCUUUUUUAUUUUUAGUUUGGGAAUUAUAUCUCAUAAAUUGUAUCAAUGGUUAUUUUGCUGUGUGUUCCCUCACCUGCAUUUUUCAGUGUUAGGCACUGUGGGGCUGCAAUUCUGGGCCGCCCUGCAGAGGCUUUGCUCAAUGAGGUAAAAGAUGUCGCAGUUAUCUUGGGACAUUCCCUUGCUGGAUUCAGUUUGAGAGAAAAGGUAGCAUUUUGUUUUUUAUAUUUUUACAAUACCAGAGUUACUACCACAUGUUGAGUAUCCAUUCCUCUGUGGAUGGUCUUCUGGGUUCUUUCUAGAUCUUGCCCGUUAUAAAUAAGGCUGCUAUGCAUAUAGUGGAGCAAUUACCUAUGAUUUCUUGAAGACAUGUUUUUUAGGGCUGAAUAGUACUCCACAGUGUGGAUAUGCUGUAGAAAUGUGGGAUGAUGUCACUGGUGAGGCAGGUACAAGAUAGAAUGAGGCCUCUCAUUGGAGGAGAAGGAAGGAUGUGUGGGAGGAAUGUCUGAAGGAAGGGGAGGAGACUGGAAGGGAAGGGAAAGGAAGGGAACGGAAGAGAAGGAGGAGUGUGGAGAAGCCACAUGGCGAGAACACUGAAGGUGACCUUAGGAUUCCACUCUCUGCUUUUACAGGUUGUUAUGAAUGUUCCUGGGAAUUGAUGACUAGAGGGCCUUUGCCUUUGGGUGGGAAAUUAUAUCCUAUAAAUUGAAUGAAAGGUUAUUGUGUUCUGUGUUCGCUCAUGUGCAUUUUUAAAGGUAAGAGAGUUUGCUUCUACUAUUCUUGGCCGCCAUGGAGAAGGUUUGCUAAAUGAGGUCAGAUAUCUAGCAGUCAUUCAUCUUGUAGCAUUUCCUUGCUGGAUUUAGUCGGAGAAAAAAGGUAGCAUUUUGUUUUUUAUAUUUUUACAGUACCAGAGCUACUACCACAUGUUGAGUAUCCAUUCCUCUGUGGAUGGUCUUCUGGGUUCUUUCUAGCUCUUGCCCAUUAUAAAUAAGGCUGCUAUGCACAUAGAGAGCAAUUAUGUAUGAUUUUUUGAAGUCAUGGUUUUUUAUAGCUGAGUAGUAUUCCACAGUGUAGAUGUGCUGUAGAAAUAUGGGAUGAUGUCUCAGGUGAGGCCGGUACAAGAUAGAAUGAGGCCUCUCAAUAGAGGAGAAGGAAGGAUGUGCAGGAGGAAAGUCUGAAGGAAGGGGACAGAAGAGAAGGAGGAGUGUGGAUAAGCCAGGCUGAGAGAAAAGUGAGGCUCCCAUGGAUAUUCCAAUCUGGGCAUUUACAGGCUGUCAUGAAUGUCCUUGACAGAUCGAUUUGUAUAGGGCUUUGUAUGUUUAUGUGGGGAAUUAUAUCUCAUAAAUUGUAUCAAAGGUUAUUGUAUUGUGUGUUCCCUCAUGUGCAUUUUUUAAGGGUUAGAGAGUGUACAGCUCCUAUUCAAGGCCGCCAUGGAGACGCUUUGCUGAAUUGUUGAGUGAGGUAACUUAUGUAGCCAUUAUCCUGUUCCAUUGCCUUCGUGGAUCUAUUCAGAGAGAAAAAAGUAGUGUUUUUAUAUUUUUACAAAACCAGGAAUUGUGCCACAUUUUCUGUAUCCAGGCCUCUGUCAAAGUGCAUCUGGGUUCUUUCCAGGACCUGCAGUUUAUAAAUAAGGCUGCAAUGAACAUAGUGGAGCAAUUACCUAUGAUUUCUUGAAGUCAUGGUUUUUUACAGCUGAAUAGUACUCCACAGUGAAGAUGUGCUGCAGAAAUGUGGGAUGAUGUCACUGGUGAGGCAGGUACAAGAUAGAAUGAGGCCUCUCAUUGGAGGAGAAGGAAGGAUGUGUGGGAGGAAUGUCUGAAGGAAGGGGAGGAGACUGGAAGGGAAGGGAAAGGAAGAGAAGGAGGAGUGUGGAGAAGCCACAUGGCGAGAACACUGAAGGUGACCUUAGGAUUCCACUCUCUGCUUUUACAGGUUGUUAUGAAUGUUCCUGGGAAUUGAUGACUAGAGGGCCUUUGCGUUUGGGUGGGAAAUUAUAUCCUAUAAAUUGAAUGAAAGGUUAUUGUGUUCUGUGUUCGCUCAUGUGCAUUUUUAAAGGUAAGAGAGUUUGCUUCUACUAUUCUUGGCCGCCAUGGAGAAGGUUUGCUAAAUGAGGUCAGAUAUCUAGCAGUCAUUCAUCUUGUAGCAUUUCCUUGCAGGAUUUAGUCGGAGAGAAAAGGUAGCAUUUUGUUUUUUAUAUUUUUACAAUACCAGAGCUACUACCACAUGUUGAGUAUCCAUUAAUCUGUGGAUGGGCGUCCGGGUUCUUUCCAGCUCCUGCCCGUUAUAAAUAAGGCUGCGAUGAACAUAGUGGAUCAGUUACCUAUGAUUUCUUAAAUUCAUGGUUUUUUAGAGCUGAAUAGUAUUCCACUGUAUAGAUGUCUUUUUGAAAUGUGGGAUGAUGUAUCUGGGGAGGCAGGUACAAGAUAAAAUGAGUUCUCUCAUUGGACAAGAAGGAAGGAAGUGCAGGAGGAAAGUCUGAAGGAAGGGGACAGAAGAUAAGGAGGAGUGUGUAGAAGCCAGGCUGAGAGAAAAGUGAAGCUGACAUGGAUAUUCCAAUUUGGGCAUUUACAGGUUGUCAUGAAUGUCCUUGAGUGAUGGAUUUGUAUAGGGCUUUGUAUGUUUAUGUGGGGAAUUAUAUCUCAUAAAUUGUAUCAAAGGUUAUUGUAUUGUGUGUUCCCUCAUGUGCAUUUUUAAGGGUUAGAGAGUGUACAGCUCCUAUUCAAGGCCGCCAUGUUGACGCUUUGCUGAAUUGCUGAAUGAGGUAACUUACUUAGCUGCUAUGCUGUUCCAUUGCCUUCCUGGAUCUAUUCGGAGAGAGAAGGUAGAGUUUUGCUUUUUAUAUUUUUACAGAGCCAGAGGUGUAUCACAUUUGCUGUAUCCAUGCCUCUGUGAAAGGGCAUCUGAGUUCUUCCCAGCUCCUGCCCAUUAUAAAUAAGGCCACAAUGAACAUAGUGGAACAAUUACCUAUGAUUUCUUCAAGUCACGGUUUUUUGCAGCUGAAUAGUACUCCACAGUGUAGAUGUGCUGUAGAAAUGUGGGAUUAUGUCACUGGUGAGGCAGGUACAAGAUAGAAUGAGGCCUCUCAUUGGAGGAGAAGGAAGGAUGUGUGGGAGGAAUGUCUGAAGGAAGGGGAGGAGACUGUUAGAAUGUUCCUGGGAAUUGAUGACUAGAGGGCCUUUGGGUUUGGGUGGGAAAUUAUAUCCUAUAAAUUGAAUCAAAGUUUAUUGUGUUCUGUGUUCGCUCAUGUGCAUUUAUAAGGUAAGAGAGUUUGCUGCUACUAUUCUUGGCCGCCAUGGAGAAGGUUUGCUAAAUGAGGUCAGAUAUCUAGCAGUCAUUCAUCUUGUAGCAUUUCCUUACUGGAUUUAAUCGGAGAGAAAAGGUAGCAUUUUGUUUUUUAUAUUUUUACAGUACCAGAGCUACUACCACAUGUUGAGUAUCCAUUCCUCUGUGGAUGGUCUUCUGGGUUCUUUCCAGCUCCUGCCCGUUAUAAAUAAGGCUGCGACGGACAUAGUGGAGCAGUUACCUAUGUUUUCUUGAAGUCAUGGUUUUUUUAGAGCUGAGUAGUAUUCCACUGUAUAGAUGUCUUGUUAAAAUGCGGGAUGAUGUCACUGGUGAGGCAGGUACAAGAUAGAAUGACGCCUCACAUUGGAGAAGACGGAAAAAUGUGCAGGAGGAUAGUCUGAAGGAAGGUGAGGGGACUGGAAAGGAAGGGAACUGAAGGGAACAGAAGAGAAGGAGGAGUGCAGAGAAGCCACAUGGCGAGAACACUGAAGGUGACUUAGGAUUCCACUCUCUGCUUUUACAGGUUGUCAUGAAUGCUCUUGAGGGACGGGUUUGUGUAGUGCUUUUUUAUUUUUAGUUUGGGAAUUAUAUCUCAUAAAUUGUAUCAAUGGUUAUUUUGCUGUGUGUUUCCUCACCUGCAUUUUUCAGUGUUAGGCACUGUGGGGCUGCAAUUCUGGGCCGCCCUGCAGAGGCUUUGCUCAAUGAGGUAAAAGAUGUCGCAGUUAUCUUGGGACAUUCCCUUGCUGGAUUCAGUCUGAGAGAAAAGGUAGCAUUUUGUUUUUUAUAUUUUUCAAAACCAGAGCUACUACCACAUGUUGAGUAUCCAUUCCUCUGUGGAUGGACGUCUGGGUUCUUUCCAGCUCCUGCCCAUUAUAAAUAAGGCUGCUAUGCAUAUAGUGGAGCAAUUGCCUAUGAUUUCAUGAAGUCAUUGCUUUUUAUAGCUGAAUAGUAUUCCACAGUGUAGAUGUAUUGUAGAAAUGUGGGAUGAUUUCACAGGUUCGGCUGUUACUAGAAAGAAUGAGGCAUUUCAUUGGAAGAGAAAGAAGGAUGUGCAGGGGGAAAGUUUGAGGGAAUGGUAAGAGACUGGAAGGGAAGGGAAUGUAAGAGAGGGAGGUGUCUGGAAAAGCCAUAUUGAGAGAACUCUGAAUGUGACCUUAGGAUUCCACUCUGCUUUUACAGGUUGUUAUCAAUAGUCCUGAGGGAUGGAUGACAAUAGGGUUUUGUACGUUUAGGUGGGGAAUUAUAUCCCAUAAAUUGUAUCAAAGGUUAUUGUUUUGUGUGUUCCCUCAUGUACAUUUUUAAAAGUAAGAGAGUGUGGGGCCACUAUUGUAGGCCGCCAUGGAUAGCUUUCCUGAAUCAGGUCACCUAUGUAGCAGUUAUCUUGUUGUAUUGCCUUGCUUGGAUCUAUUCUGAGAUAAAAGGUUGCAUUUUGUUUUUUAUAUUAUUCUAAAACCGUAGAUGUACCACAUUUUCUGUAUCCUUUCCUCUGUUGAAGGGCAUCUGGAUUCCUUCUAUCUUCUGCCUAUAUCAUAAAUAAGGCUUCUGUGAACAUAUUGGAGCCCUUGCCUUUGUUAUAUAUUUGAGCAUCUUUUCGCUAUAUGCCCAAGAGUGGUAUGGCUGGGUACUGGUGUAGUGCAAUGUCCUGUUUUCUGAGGAAACUCCAUACUGUUUUCUAGUGUUGUUGUUCCAGAUUGCAAUCCUGUCAACAAUGGAGUAGUGUUCCUUUCUCCAGCUCCUUGCCUGCAUUUGUUGUCCCCUGAGUUUUUGACCUUAGCCAUUCUGAAUGAUGUGAGGUGGAAUCUCAGGGUUGUGUAUGUUGCAUUUCCCUGAUGACUAAGGAUUUUGAGGUUUUCUUUAGCUACAUUUCAGCUAUUUGAUAUUCUUACUCAGGUAAGAAAUAUUUUUUUAGCUCUGCAUCCCAUUUUUAAUAGGUUUGUUUGGCUUCAUGAGUUCUUUGUAUAUUGGAUAUAAGCCCUUUUAUCAAAUUUAGGAUUGGCAAAGAUCUUUCCUCAAUGUGUUGUUUGCUUAUCCUAAAGACAGUGUCAUGUGCCUUACAGAAUCUUUUGAGUUUUAUGAUGUCCUGUUUGUCCAUUCUUGAUCUUAGAGCAUAAGCCAUUGAAAUUUUGUUCAGGAAAUUUCCCCCAGUGUCCUUGUGUUCCAGAGUCUUCCCCAUUUUUCUUCUGUUUGCUUGAGUGUAUCUGGUUUGAUGUGGGUGUCCUUGAUCCACUUUGACUUAAGCUUUAUACAUGGUGAGAAGAGUGUAUCAGUUUGCAUUCUUCUACAUCCUUGACCUCCAGUAGAACCAGCAGCAGUUGUUGAAAAUGCUAUCCUUUUUUCACUGGAUGGUUUUAGCUACUUUGUCAAAGAUCAUGUGACCAUAGGUGCCUGGGUUCAUUUCUGGGUCAUCACUUCUAUUCCACAGAUCACCCUGCCUGUUUCUGUAACAAUAACAUACAGUUUUUAUGACUAUUGCUCUGUUACACAUUUUGAGGUCUGUAAUGGUGAUUCCCCCAUAAGUUCUUUUUUUGUUGAGGAUAAUUUUCACUAUCCUGUUUUUUUCAAUAUUGCAAAUAAAUUGGCAAAUUGCUUUUCUUAUUUUUUGAAAAAUUGUGUUGUGAUUUUGAUGGGGAUUGCAUUGAAUCUGUAGAUUGCUUUUGACAAAAUGGCCAUUUUUACUGUAUUAAUCCUGCCAAUCCCUGAGCAUGCUAGGUCUUUUCAUCUUUUUAGAUCUUCAUUUUCUUUCUUCAAAUAAUUCAAAUUUUUAUCACAUAGAAAUUUUACUUCUUUGGUUAGAGUCACAUGAGGUUUUGUUUUGUUUUUUUUUUGUUUUUUUUUGUUUUUUUGUUUUUUUUUCAUUUCGGACUGUUAUGGAGGGCGUCAUUUCCCUAAUUUCUUUCUCAGCCUGUUUAUCCUUUCAGUAGAGGAAGGCUACUGAUUUGUUUCAGAUAAUUUUUUACCAAGACACUUUGCUGAAGUUGUUUAUCAGGAUUAGUUAUUUCUCUGGAACUUUAGUAAUCAGUUAAGUAUGCUAUCCUAUCAUCUGCAAAUAGUGAUAUGUUGACUUCUUCCCUUCCAAUUCUAUCCCUUUGACCUUUCAAUGUCUGAUUUCUCUGACUAGGACUUCGAGUACUAAAUUGAAUAAGUAGGGAGAGUGUGGGCAGCCUUAUUAUCCCUGAUUUUAGUGGGAUUGCUUCAAGUUUCUCUCCAUUUAGUUUAAUGUUGGCUACUGGAUUACUGUACAUUGCUUUUACUAUUUUUAGGAGAAAGUAUAAUAGAGGGUAAAGAUUCCUAAAAUCCACACUGUAUACUAGACUAUACUCUUGAUUUGUUUCAGUCUUAUAAAAACAUGAAAAGCAACUUAUUAUGUAAAAUAAGGAUCAUCAUGCACUUAAAUUGAUGAUUUCUCCGGGGGUAAAUAGUAGUAUAUAUGCAGUUACUAUCGAAAAGCCACCCGAAGUUGAGUGUUUGCCUGUAUUUGUGUAGGUUAAAUUAACCCAGUGACUAUUUACUUAAGAUUAUAUGUAUAAUUCUAUCUUUUACCCUGGAACAUUAAACAUUAGUACAGAGAAUAGUGAUAAAAUUAUCAAGAGUGAUGUAUUUGCUAGAGUAAUACCAACUUGGAAAUUCUGUGGUAUUGAUUCAAAUUCUCUCUUUCUCUGUAUGCAGCCCAGUUUAGGUCUCUGUGUUUUUCCAUCCUCUGUAAGAGGAAACUUUGAUGGUGGCUGAGCAAAACACUUACAGAGGGAAACUACUAUAGAGGGAAACAUCAUUUGGGGUCAUUUAAUUAAUUGCUUUGUUCUUUUAGGAGAAAAAUAGUGUUUGGUUUUCCUUCCUAGGCUCAUGGCCCAGAGCCUUGAUACCCUGAUUAAUGUUAGACAUGAAUUCAUCUUAUUCAGCAGGCCUUAAACCCAUUGAGAGAGUAAUUGUUUACUGGCAUAGCGUUUUUGCUACUAUGGAGCAGAACAUGGCUUGUAGUUGGGUUGAUGGUUACAGUUUUUCUUCUAGUAUCAUAAAGAGUAACUUCCAGUAUCUUGAAUGUUAGUCAGUAGGGAUAAAGGUUGUACAGGUACCAGUUUGACUUCCUUGUUCAACAGUGUGGCCUUACCAACAGGUUUUACAACUUACAAGCCUUUUCCAUAGCCUAAGUUGUUUGGAGUUAUCCAUUUGGCCAGUGACCCAACUAGAUAUAAACAAUUCCUGGCACGGCAUAUUUCACUUGGUGGUGAAUGCUAUAUAGAUAGUUAUGAGAAUUGUUUCCUUCAGUAUUUAUUGACUCCAUUAGAUUUUUUCCGUGUUGUGUAUAUAUAUAUAUAUUUUAAGAAACAUAUACAGUCACGAGCUACCAUAUGACACUUUAAUUGGCCCUUAAUGAUUAUGGAUUGGAAAGUUAAGAAAGUUAAGAAGACUAUUAGAAUCUAAUGUAUGAACAUUUCAUCAAAGGGCUUGGAUGCAGUGCCCUAUUUAGAACGGUGCUGGUGUGAUGAAUGAAGUUUGAUCAGUGCCUUUCUGAGUAGAGUAAGGCUUACCACAUUCUACAUUUAAUAUGAUUUCUAGUGAAGUGCCUUCUGUAUAAUCAUAGAUGAGCUAAAUAUUUCUUGUAUUUUCUAAAACCAUACAAAUAUUAAAUAUCAUAUUCAAUUUUGGAUGUGCGUUUUCGUAGGUUGUCCUUAUUCUUCAUCUCCGUACCUCCCUACUACUAAUCCUAUUAUCUUGUAACCUACAAUCUUGAAUCUGUUUUCUUCUUUUAUAUCUUUUGGUUUCUUUUUCUUUUCCUUAUUCUUUUGAUGGUGGUACACAAAACAUUUUUAUUGCAUUUUUGGUUGACUUAACCUACUUAACAGGAAAGAAAGCAUCUUUGUUAUUGUAAAGCUGGUCAUGUUUUUAAUGACUGGAAAGGUUACAAAACUAGGAGAGAACCUACUAUUAUUGCGUGUAAUUUCGUUUUAAAAAUAUUUUUUAUUUAGAUUUGAUGGCAGGGAAGCAUUAGCUUCUUCCCAAGGGGACCCUUUUGCCAACAACUUGUUUAGAUAGUACACAGUGUUUCUGGAAGUAUCAUGUAUAUGAGCAUGGUGCAGUAUCAUCAAAUUCACUAGAGAUUUUUUAACCUGAUCCCUGAAUUAAGUAACUCCACAGUAAUUGUAACUAUGGAAAUAACCCAGAAUAAAAUCAAGAGUAAUGAACAAGGGAGAUAAAUAAAGGAUACUUUAGUUGCCAUUAUGGUUUAGGAGUAAGAGCAAAGAAGAGGGAAUGUGGAAAAAUGAAUAUAUUUAGAAUACUGUGAAUACUCCUUUAAUUGGUUAACUUGCAACCAUGUGGACUACAUGAGUAAUAGAUGACAGAUAAUUUCAACUGCCCAUUUAGUGUAUAGAUACAAUAAACCUAGUGAACAUAAAGUCUUAGUAAGUCGUUUCAGAAAAACAAAGUAUAUCCUAAUCAUUCCUGCAGUUGUGCAUAUAAACAGAGACUACAACAAAGGAUCUAUAGAGAUAUAUAUUAAAAGCCAAUGUGGUCGAAAGCCCAUUGGACUUAACAGUUAAAUAAUUUUGGGUUGCAAGUAUGCUGGAUUUAGAGAUCUGAUGAAAUAUUUGGGCAAUUAUAGAAGCUGAUGAAGCUUAAAUUCUCUAUAACCAUGCUAUGUGCACUUCUUUACGCUCAUAACUAUGAGUUAAUUUUCCUCUUAACUAAGUCCUAUCUGGUAGAGUACUGAUCCGUAGGCAUGCUGCUUAUGAUGUGACCUGUAUGUUGAUAGUGAUAUUCAGGUAUGGUAUGAUCUGAACAGUAUGGUUGCAGGAGAACAUGGCUUGGUCCUUUGAAUCUACAUAUCCUUCAAAGGUAUGCUAUAAAUGUGGACAACUUUAAAUUCUAUCUUUAAAACAUAUACGUAUGUAAUGAAUUUGAAAGAGAAGAAGGUACUUGGGAGAGCUUUUCUCAAAAUGAAAAACAAGACUAAAGAAACAUCAAUGUAAUUCAUAAAUGCAAAUCUGCCUAAGGCUUGUUGUCUUUGCCAGUCAGGCUUUAAAAGAGAAUGCAAGUAGAUGUGAUUUUAGUAAAACUGAUAAUGAAACAAUUAGAUGACUAUUUUCAUCAAGAAAUACAUCAAAAAGGGGGUAUGAUUUUUUUAUUGGGAUAAUUCGUUUUAUUUUGAAUAUUGAAAAUGAUGGAGGGAGUGUGAUGGGACUUCCUCAUUAAUGUAAUAGUGUGCUAUGCCCUGCUUGUACUUAUUCUGGUGACAUGAGGUAUCUGUGACUAGGGUAGUAUGAGUAGAGUAAAGUUCACCAAAUUCUUCAUUUGAUCAGUCUGGAUGAUGAGUAUGGUGGCUUCUCCUUAAUUUAGAUGUUCUAUGGUUACUUCUGUAACUUAGGCUUCCUUUGGAUGAUUUCAGUUGUUCAUUUGCCAUCUCACAAAUAGCUAGAAGUCAGAGAAUUGAACACAGUUAUUAAAAUGUUUUAUAAUAGAUAAAUAUUUAAUGUGAUCUCAUUAUGCUUUGACAAUUAUAGAAGCAAACAGAAACUUGACUAUAAAAUUCAGGUGGAAAAAAUGCAAGAUGGAAGACAUCAUACCAGAGUUGUAUGAUUGUGAUUUGUUAAUUUUGUUCCUAUGCUGUUCUUUAGCCAUCUGGUUGUCCUGGUUUUCAGUGCAUGAUCCUGAUGACAGCAGGACUCUUUAGGAAGGUAAGAAGUGCUGUGGUCCAAGACCAGGAUAGUCAGGGGUAGUAUGCAGCUCACCUAAGGCAUACCUGAGUGGUGAGGGAUUGGUGGGACACAGUUCCAUUCUGAUUGUUGCUGCCCACCCUCUUCAAGGAUUACCCAAGGAAGUGGAUGCUUUGUGGUCCUUUAAGUGUCCCCAGGAAAGCAGGGUGAACACAGAGCCAGACAUUGGUAGUCAAGGCACUCUGAAACUCACCUAUGUUUGUUGUGCCUCUGGAGGACCAGGCUACUACACCUCUUACUAAGGGUUUUUCCUACCAAGUUUUCUGUACUUACAUGCUUUUCACAUGAAGUACAUAUGACCAGAGAGCUGUUCUAGAUAGAGAAACACACUGUCCAAUAUUUCUUGUAGCACACACCUCACCAUUUUUUAUAGGUACAAACACAGUGGAAUUGCCACUUAAACAAGAAUGCACCCUUAACAACAGAUGUAUUUAAGACACAUAUUGAAGCUGUGUGUGUGUGUGUGUGUGUGUGUGUGUGUGUGUGUGUGUGUGUGUGUGUGUGUGUGAAUCUUCUUGUGUCUCUUUUAUGGAACUAAUGUGUAUAUAUGCAUGUCUGUGUAUCCCAUUGUGUUCAUAUAUAGGUUAGAGGUCAACUUGCUAGAAUCAGUUCUAGAUCUCCUUCCACUUGAAGGUUUCUUGGGUUUAAACUUGGUCAUCGGGCUUGGUGUUAAGUACCUUUACUCUCGAAUCACCCUGCUGGCCCUCGUGCAGUUUUAAUGCUGGGAUGAUAAGUAAAUGUAUGAUGCUCAUUUUCCAUAAAAUUAAUAUCAAAUAUGCUGUGUGUAAAGCAUUACUUAGAUUAAUACCACUCAGCUAAAUAAAUAACUAUGGCACAUGUCUGAGUCAAGUUCUCAGUUUCAUGUGACAGUGAUGAUGAUAUAUAUGCACUUACCAAUGACAGAACUUCUCUGAUCUUUUAAUAAAUGUAUGAUUUAGGGGUUGGGGAUUUAGCUCAGUGGUAGAGCGAUUGCUUAGGAAGCGCAAGGCCCUGGGUUCGGUUCCCAGCUCCGAAAAAAAGAACCAAAAAAAUAAAUAAAUAAAUGUAUGAUUUAAUGAAUGUAUGAUUCCUUGCAGUAUCCCAUUUUAUGAAUAAUUACAGAUAAAAUAACACAAAUUUGGAGAAUAAUUUUCUGCUCAUAGAAAAAUGCAUUUGUAUUUUGUAAUCAUUAAGAACAUAUUAUAGCAGGUAUAGUUAUUAGGAUAAGGAUAGUCUGAGUAUGGUACCACAUGACUAUUAUUCCAGUUAUUUGGGACCAUCAAAUGUAACAGUUUCAAGACCAGCUUUGGCUAUAAAGCAAGUUUAAAGUUUUAUAUAUAUAUAUAUAUAUAUAUAUAUAUAUCAGAGGCCUACUGGGUCUGGACUUAGAGAAGAUGCACCUAGCCCUCAAGAAACGUGGACCCUAACUGGUGGAAUGUCAGGGUGGGGACAUCCUCAUGGAGAUGGGGGGAAAGGAAUAUGGAAUGUGGCGCAGUUAGAGAGUGGACCAGGAGAGGGACAAAAUGCGAACUUAAAAAAACUUAAACAGUUUUUAAAAAAGAAAGUUCAAAGGUAUUCUUGCAAAAGUAUGGAAACCUUAUAACUGAAAAUGUGAAUAUAGCUAGAUGUGUUCAGAUGGAUGGGUGGAGUACUUGCCAUUGUGUUAGUGAAUUAAGGAGAUAACCUUUAGGACAAUGCAUUUUACUCCACAUAUUGUAUUAAUUUAAAAAAUAAUGAUUGUAAUGAAAUAGAAGUCAGCUAAAUUUUUUAAGAAAUCGAAGAGAAAUGCAAGUUACCAUCUAAGGUCAUUGAGUAAAUUAUGUCACUCUAGAAUUCUCAUGCAUUUUCAAACUGUGAUGAACGUUUAAUGGAUAAAGAGGACUUGGAUGCCAGACUGUUGUGUGCCGUGCUGUACUCAGAUUAGUGUCACUCCAGGACAUAAAUAUGUAUGGCGCUCCUCUGAGUAGAAUAAGGCUCACUCUGUUCCCAAUUUGAUACACCUCGGUGAUAAUGGUGCUAUAUGUACAGCCAACCUUGACAACCUUCUAUGGUCAUUUUGUACACUACUGCAUACAGGGAUAUAUGGUUCUUUGUUGUGGUCUCUGUUUAAUCUUUAUCACAUGUACAGUUGCAUGUAAAAAGUCAUAAAGACUUUCUUAGUGAUAUGAAAAUAAACAAAAGAACCCAUCCAUCUUGUGUUUAUAUAGUUCAUUGAACAGACAGAAUAUCAAAGCACCAAAAUUGAGCUACAAAGUGAUGUAUAGGCUAGUCAGGAUGCCAUGGGUAUUGAAUCCCAAGUUCCUGGGACACCAUAACAAGAGAACAUAGUCUACAAGGUAAGUUUAAAGAUAUGAUUAACAAUGCAUAUAGAACAUUUCAAAAUUAAGCAUUAGCACAUUCACAUUCAAGUUGUUCUAAGAUUUGGGUGAUUGGAUGUAACAGAUUCUCUAAACAAAAUAAUCAAGUAUAUUAGGGUUUAUUGAUACUUCAAUGGCAGUACUAUUUAUAAUUAUUAUAGGUUUGAAUAAUACUUUCUUAGUUACACAUUGAAAGAAGUAUUCUAGUAGCUCUCACUAUUUUUAUUUUAUGUAUUGUAAGUGUUUUAACUAAAUAUCUAUUAUGUAAGAUACACGCAGGCUGCUGUACAUGGAGGAGAGUAAAGGAUAUCAGAUUCCCUGGAACUGAAAUACUGGAUGAUUAUAAGCCAAGAUAUGACUGAAAUAAAUUCCAGUCUCCUGCAAGAGCAUGAGAGGCUAUGUAGUAAAAAUCAGUCACAAAAAGAGAGUGCAAAUGAAAGAACAUACUCUUAACAUAUGUGUGGAGAAGAUGGCUUCGUAAUAGAACAUCAAGAUAGAUUAAAUGGAAAAUAAUUAACACCUACAUGUUACAAGAGAAGAAAAACAACCUGAAUGAUAAAUCCGUAUUCACAUAUGUGAAAUUGCACUCCCUCUUGUUUUGAGAAGACCAUUCAUGGAAACAGAAGACGCAUCAGAGGAAUUUAUGGUGAAGAACUGUGUGUGUGUGUGUGUGUGUGUGAGAGAGAGAGAGAGAGACAGAGAGAGAGAGAGAGAGAGAGAGAGAAUUAUAAAGUAUGUCAGGUUUUAGCUGUUAUGUUCAGUUGAUACAUUGAUAGUUAAAGUGGAUCAUGCAAGUUACAUUUGCAACAUUUUCAUAUUAAACUAUGGUGUACCCUGUUU